GAAAUGUUCAGGAAAUCCUAGUGAAGAAGCCUCCUGAUUUGAAGAGACAUCUUUCGUGUGCAAAUUUUCAUAGCUCAGGUUAGAACUGGGCUGACUGAGCAUUGAAGACUGAUCUUGUCCAGCAUAAAUAGAGCUCGUUGUCAGACCACCGGAAGCUGGCAUCCCAAAACGAGAUGGCAGCUGGCGAAGGUGAGCAAAUUUGUCAGAUAUCUUCUCACCACCCCAAGCUUCUGGAGGAGUGAUGGAGGUCUCUUCACUCUUGGAAGAUGGUGUAGGGGUAGAUUCCAAAGCUGUAAAAGACUUCGUCACAUCCUGAAAAGAUAAGUGGUGUACAAACAUCAUUAUGGGGAAAAAGACUGAAAAGCCAUAUCGAUUGCUCUCAAAAAACCAAAUUAAGUAUCAGAAACAGUUCUAUGACUAAAGAACAUAGGAUAUAAUAGCCUGUGAAUCAAGCUCAGCCAAUUCAUUUAUUAAGAGAAAUGAAAGUUGUUGGAAAUGAUAUCCCACUGCAGAUGAUAGUAAGUUGUCUGCAAUUGUAAAUCAGAGAAAUCCUCAAAACAUGCAAAGCCAUACUAAAAACACAGUUGAUCUAUUGGACUUGUUAAUACAAACACUUAUAAUGCUCCAAACAUACAACAUAGUGCACAAAAAGACCACAGUCCCAUUCUAUGCAAAAAUGACAACUUAGGAUCAACUCAUAUACUUGCAUGAAACUAGCAGAACAUUACCAUGAAGAUUUAAAGUAAUAUCUUGUACAAAAAAAUCAAAAUAAAUAUGUUAUGCAUUACUGUUAUCAAUAACAAAAAAGCAAAAAGCAAAAAACCUGUUGAGACAUUGAACUGGACUUCCAAUCAAGUAUUGGGUGAUCACUGGCUCCAUCAUCAGCAAAAGCAAACCUCCUGCUAGAAGGAAACAGCAGGGAGGAUGGCUUCUUAUCACUGGGUAGGUGCUCUUUCUUUGCACCAUCAUGACCAUCCCACAGCUUAUCCGGCGAGGGUGUAAUAGGAUGAACAUCCACAAGAGGGGAAAAUACCUCCAUAUCAUCCUUGAAAUUGAAUGUAGAACGAGGAGCGUGUAAUCUCAUUAGUGUUCCACCUGGCCAUAGAUGGCUUCUAAUUGGUGUUUCGAGAGAAGAAGAGAGAUUGAGUGUGCUUGAUGUUGAUCCAUGAAGAAAACUAGGUAACCUUCAGAAAUUUACUAAACAAUCUGUUUAUAAAAUGAACUUAGACCCCAAAGUAGACCUCCGAUCAUCAAAAUCUAAUCCCCAGUUUGCAUCAGAAAACCCAACUAAAGACAGAGAAUCAGACCGUCGAAAAACAAUUCCAAAAUCAAGUGUAGCAGAUAAAUAUCGUAAUAUCCUUUUAAGAGCAGUCAUAUGAACUGUGGUUGGACUAUGCAUAAACUGACAUACCCUAUUAACCGCAUAAGCAAUAUCAGGCCUAGUAAUGACCACAUACUGUAACGCACCUGCCAGACUCCUGUACUCAGUCGGAUCAGAUAACAACUCACCAUCAUUUUUAGAAAUAUGGAACGAGCUAAUCAUGGGCGUAUGUACGCCUUUAGCAUUCGUCAAACCACUACGCUUCAACAUAUCCCGGAUGUACUUCUUUUGACACAGAUGAAGGCUCCCACAAGGCGACCUGGUAACCUCAACUCCCAAAAAAGUAAUGUAAAUCACCCAUGUCUUUUAACAAAAAUUCAUCAUUCAACAUCUGUACAAACCAGUCAAUAGCCGACGCCAAAUUACCAGUAAUGAUAAUGUCAUCAACAUAAACAAGAACAUAGAGAGUAGAGUCUGAGCGAACUCGAACAAAAAGAGAAGCAUCCGACUUAGAGCCAACAAACCCAACUUGCAAAAGAAAUGUCCUCAACUUCUCAAACCAAGCUCGUGGAGCCUGUCGCAAACCAUAUAACGCCUUCUUUAAUCGACAAACCAAAGGUCUCCCGUCAGAACCAAGCUUAACAUAUCCCGGAGGUUGCUGCAUAAACACUUCAUUAUCAACAUCACCAUUUAAGAAGGCAUUGUUAACAUCAACUUGUCUAAGUGACCACCCUUUAGUAACCGCGAUCGACAAGAUUACCCUUAUAGUGGCAGGUUUGACAACUGGACUAAAUGUUUCUUGAAAGUCACACCCCAGAACUUGAGAACAGCCUUUCGCAACCAGACGGGCCUUGUACCGUUCAACCGAUCCAUCUGGGUUUUUCUUUACUUUAAACAACAAUUUGCAACCUAUAACUUUGCGACCUAAUGGCAUAGGAACCAGUUCCCAGGUACCAUUACGAAUUAAGGCAUCAUAUUCCGUUUGAGCAUCGAUUUGCCACUCAGGGCUAGCGACAGCUUCUUCAAUCGUUGACGGUUCUACAACCUCAACAGCAAGAACCUUGGGUUUAAAAAUGCCAGCUUUUGAACGAGUAGUCAUAGGAUGAAUAUUCACAUUAGGCACAGACACCUCUGGUCCUGUAGGGUCAGACGGAAUUGGAACAGUGGGCGUGGGAGAUUGAUUUUCAGAAUGCAAGACACCAUGAUGAGAAAUAUCUUCUUCAGUCAAAAACUCAUUCAAUAAGGGAGUAUUACGAUAGUUAGUAUUUGUUGGACUAACAUCCACUCUACUCUAAGGACUCCGAGCCCCAGGUACACUAGGCUGACAAACAGGACCAAUAACAGAGUUCCGUUGUAACAAUGGAUUAGUCUCAAGAACAGGAAAAUAAGUAGGUAUAGUACUCACCUCGCGUGACCGAGAUAUAUUUGGUGGAGAGAGGAACCUAGAUUCAUCAAACUCCACAUGUCGAGAAACAAUAACGCGACCAUCCGGCAACAGACAUUGGUACCCUUUGUGACAAGGGCUGUAGCCCAAGAAUGUACAAGGUUGAGACCGAAAUUCUAAUUUAUGACCCUGAAACGGGCGUAAAAACGGAUAGCAACAACAUCCAAAGAUAUGCAGGUGAUCAUAAGUAGGGUCUCGUCCAUAAAGCACACCAUAUGGAGUCUUACCAUCCAAUACUGGUGUGGGAAGACGAUUUAUUAAAUGAACUGCACAUGUAAACGCAUAUGCCCAGAACUCCAUCGAAAGACCCACUUGAGCUAAAAGAGUAAGCCCCAUUUCGACAAUGUGUCUAUGUUUACGCUCGGCGACACCAUUUUGCUCAGAAGUAUGCAGACACGAAACACGAUGAACGAUGCCUUGAGACGCCAAAAUCGAAGCCAACGCUCGAUACUCACCACCCCAGUCGCUCUGGAAUUGCUUGAUGGUCUUGCCAAACUGAGUGUGAACAAGUUUCUGAAACUGAAUGAAGCAAUUCAUAACUUGAGACUUCUGUCGAAUUAGAUAUACCCAAGUAAACCGAGAACUCAUGUCAAUGAACGACACAUAAUACCAAUUGUUACUAGAAGCAACCGAGGCAGGUCCCCAUACAUCAGAUACAACCAACGUAAAGGGAUCAGUAUAUUCAGUCUUGGAAGCCAUAAAUGGCAACUUAUGAAACUUACCCUUUUUACAAGCAGUACAAACAUCGCUAACAGCAAUUUUAUUCAAAGGAACAUCACAUUUAUGUAAAACAUUUUUAACAACAGUUGACGACGGAUGUCCAAGUCGCUUGUGCCAUAACGAAAACAACUCACUGUCAGCAGUCGAGGUCAAACAUUCUACCUGAGUAGCAGACAGAUAAGAACCACCAUCCGGCAUAGUAAACCGAUAUAGCCCAUUAUGAAUAUGCCCCGUCAGUAAAACCUCCUGUGUCACGCUGUCCUUUAUCACACAAUAAGUAGAGUGAAACUAAAAAAAUACCCCAUUAUCAGUAGCAAAUUGUGAUACUGACAACAAAUUUUUUCGAAUAGUUGGGACACAUAACACGUUAGACAACCGAAGCAACAUAGACCAUGUCGGCAAAACACUUUGACCAACAGACGAUAUUAAUGCGGGCGUACCAUUACCCAUUAAAAUAGAAGACGUACCUGAAUAAGGAGUAGCAUUAUGCAUAUCUGACGUAUCCUGACAAACAUGAUUGCUGGCUCCUGAAUCAGGAUACCAAGACGACGUCCCAACUGGUCCAGGAAUCGGCGAGUCAGACGCAUCCCCACUCACUCUAUGUCGAUCGGAGUUAGCAUGAGAACUAGAGAUCGACGGAUCAGAAUAGUCCGACGCAUGUAUAUCUCCCAACCUAGGAAGUCCAAAACAAGGGUUUGAGGCGGAAAAUACUCGCGCACGCAGCUUGGUUCGCCAUGGAACUGUCGUGGUACCGAUCGGAUUAGCUGGAUUGAGCUGAACAUUAUUGACAAAUGGAUUUGUAGGUAUCGAAGGAGGAACAUUUGGUCCAACAUUCUGCCCAAUAUUUGGCCCAACAUAAGACGGCAUGCCAAACCCUCCAUGUACACCAUCAUUUGGCCCACCAGCUUGCGGCCCAGGAGUUGGAGGCCUAAAAUCUCGCCGUUCAUCACUCGGCUUAGGCCACCCAUUUGGCCCAACCUACUGGCCUCCACGCUGCGCAUUGAAGCCCCCUUCAGCACACCAAUUUUGACCAAAAUCAUAUGAAUUUUGACCAGGCCCAAAACAAUUUUGACCUGUAGCACAAUUAACUUGAUUAGUCCCAUAAUGCUGUUGACCAAAAUUAGAAACCUUAGGUCUAGUGUUUGGAUAAGACGGCCAGCCACCAUCACCGGAGUAAAGAUUCAGCAUCUGGUUUUGCUGCGGAGGUGGCACCGGAGACGACUCAUCACGAUGGUACCUAUAAUAGCAUUUUUGAGCCACGUGUCCAAACCGAGAGUAGAUCUGGCAUUGAAGUCGCGGCCGAAACGUCCUUCCACGACCACGCACCCCCGAUCGCCCUCCCGCGACGCAGCAUCUGUAGACACAUCCUCCACCAGAUUUGCAGCAUACACCACCUCUUGACUGGUCUGAGCAUGCCGAGUUUCACACUCUAGUAACGCCUCAACUAGUCGUGGAAACGGCAACGGAGUCGGAGACAACGAAGCCGACAAGACGAUGCCUUCAAACUCAGACGAAAGCCCCGCAAGAAGCACCGCCGUCCUUUCUGCCAUUGAAAUGGAAGAUCCAGAGGAUUCCAACAGAGCACACACACGUUUUAACUUCGCAACAUAAUCACGGAUCGACAUGCUUCCUUUCUUGAGAGAGUGAAGCUCAUGACGCAAUCGUGACUGCCUUUGAUCGGAAUCGGCCGCAAACAUCUCCAACGCCAUGGUCCAUACGUCGUUCGCCGAUUGGACAUCCAUAAAGGAUGAAAGAAUUGAUGAACUUAUGGUGGAGAGAAGCCAAGACGUGAGCAGAUUAUCUUGUUGGUGAUACACUGAUGCCACUGGAUUGACCACAAGCGCACCAUCCGGUGCUUGUACAAAUCUCGACGGCACUGCAAUAGAUCCAUCAAGAAAACCGAAGAGAUCAUAGCCAUUAACAAUGAAUCUUACCUGUUGCUUCCAUUGAAGAAACGUUCCUUCAUCAAGUUUCACAACGUCAUGUCUAGGAAGCGAAUUCACCACACGCUCAGCAGCAAACACCGAGCCAUGCACUUCAGCAGAAUCCGACGCAGCAGAGUUUGUAGUUGCCAUGAUCAAGAACCCCUAGCGACUGAUACCAUGAAGAAAACUAGGUAACCUUCAGAAAUUUACUAAACAAACUGUUUAUAAAAUGAACUUAGACUGUUACUUGGCUCAAUACAAAGCCAGACGAUAGUAUUUAUAACUUGCUAUCUCUAACAAACUAGCUAACUUACCAGCCCUCACUAACUACCUCUCUAACCGUUUUAUUAUCUUUAACAAUCCACUACUACUAAUAAGAGAAGAUACUUCUGCAGGACCUGAACAGCCAGUGAUACGAGAACUAGAAACUGCUGUGGAUGACGAAAGGCUUGUUGAUGUCGCAGAUGGAAGUGGGUCUGGCAUAAGAACAGAAUCCUCUAUUGCACCUCCCAAAAGAGCAGUCUCAGCAGUGCAAGUACUCUCAUUAACAAUGGCAAGUUUUGAUCUUUGCCAACAUAAACUUGAAACAGCCUGAUAGAUGCUAUAAACACUUAGGAUUUAAAAUGUUAAAGGAAUAAGGCUUAUUACUUUCUAUUUACACAAAACACGUUGAAGUUGGAGCACAAACAAGCAAGCAGUGACAUCCAAUUAAUAUCAUUAGUUCCAUUAUAGAACAUGAUCUUUUAUACAAAUACCAUUCAAAAUUCCAUAUCAAGUUAGAGUUCUUGAAGGAAAAUAGAAAGCAAGUGCAAACUACAAGAACUUAUCAGGGCCUGGGUCUCUUUUUAUAUUAAAAAGUGAUAAUAGAGCAAAAGAUAACCAACCUCCGGACUACUAUAAGCACGAAGAACAGUAAAAGGCUGUAGUUUUCCCCGAAUAUCAUAGAACACCACUCUACCAUUACCAGUACCAGCUGACAGUGUCCAACCAUCAUCUUUAAAUGCCAAUGAAGAAAAAGGUGCCUCAUAUGAAAUGAAAGCUGAGGGUCUUCUAGACCCUGAGUCAUAAGUGUAUAGCUUCUUAUCCAACCCAACACUAGCAAUAAUCUGUUGAAAAGGAAAAAGAAUAAUGAAAUGUCAGAAUAUUUAACAAUUUUUGAAAGAUAUCUUAACCAUUAAAAAAAAAAUUCCUUCAUCUCAACCUUCCAGAAAAAGUCAGCCUAUUCCUUUAAUUAAGCCUUAAUAAGGAAAAGAAGAAACAAUGAGACCUUAUCAUUGGAGGGUGAGAAACUAAUGCCAGCUGUCGGAGCAGAGUGCUGUUUCAACCAAGAGACCUGUAAAAGCCAGUGGAUUACAUAUAUGCUUAGAACAUCAAGAAUAUUAAGACAGACAGAGAGAAGAGAACCUUUGGGCUACGACCAGUGGUAUCCCAUAAAUGGACAGAUCCAUCAUCACCUGCAGUCACCAAAAUGUGUCGACUAAUCCGCGAAUAAUCAAGUACCUUUAGUUCCUGGUCUUAAAUCCAUCAGAGGAAAAUUAGCUUGCAAACAUGACUAAGAACUUAACAUAAGCACCCAAAUGCAACAAACUCAACAACCUGUGCAUCGGGAUCUUUUAAUUCAGCAGCCUUUGCCCCAGAAGCAAGGUUGUGAAGUAUCAGAUCCCCACUUAGGCUGAUGGAGGCCAAGUGCUCAUCUUUGCAGUUAUACAUAACACCUGUUAUUGAGCUGGUAUGACCUCUUAACCAUUUGAUGCAACGCUUCCGCUGCAAAUCCCAUAUUCUUACAACUUGACCACUUCCUCCUGAACAUAUGUAUCUGGAUCCCUUGUUGCUAAAGCUAAUAGCUAAAAUGGACUCCUGUAAAUAAAAGGGAUAUUCUGCUUGUUAAAUUUGACAAAGAAUGCCAUGGAAAUAAUUAUAUAUAACUUCAGUAACCAUUUAAACUAAUCAAGGCCUGACAUUAAUGAAUAAGCAAUUUCAGGUGUCAUCAACGAAUAAUCAAUUUUGGGUGUCGAGUAAAAAACUUGAGGAUUUUAGUUACGCAAAUGAGGCCACAAACUCGUUUUCUUUUUUCCCUUUUUUUUUUUUUUUGCCUAAAGCAUUGUGACAUCAAAUUUGAGGAAAAGGACAUCAUUCAAAUGCAAUGCAAAGUGCUAAAUGUUUGAAGCAAGCUUAUCUGUCCAUGCUACUUAAGCGCAUCCUCCUCUCUUGCUAAGUACCUCCACUAAUGUCAGCUAGAAACAUAUGGUAAUUGUAUAGACAGAAAUUUCAAGUCACGAUGAUAUUUUGCACAUUAUAGUCCUACACUACAGACAAUAAUGCAUAGCACAACUCGUCCACAUUAAUAAAGAAGAAAGUUCAGAAAGCAUGAAACUUCUCUCUUUUGUUCAUAAGUAACUCAAUUUACUACAUGAUUUAAUAAUCUACAAUGAGUUUUAUUCAAAAUAUCUUUUAAGUCAGCUGCCAAUCCACAACACACAUCCUAUUGGUAACUUCUAUUUCGUGAUGUAUGCAUUCACAACUAAAAACCUUAUGCGUGACAAUAUGGUUAGAAACAUAAAGUAUAACAAUUUCGGAAUUUAACAUGCAUAAUCUACCUGGAAAUGAACAUUAUAUCCCACUCCAAAAAAAUUUUGGCUUCGAUUCAAAACAAUAAAACUAAAAGUAUUUCAACAAUAUUCAACAGUUAACUAAGUCUAGAGAAGGAUUACCUCAAUGUUAUCUCCACUAUCAGUCCCAUCAACCGGAAUUGUUCCAAUCCUCUGCCCAUUUUUCUUCACAUGCCAUUUGACUUUAUCGAUUUUGUGUGGAUUCCAACAUGGAAAUAGAAAACAGCUUUUGUUUUCAUUGUGGAAAAUCUCUUGCGCUUUUGGAAUUUUGUGUCCACUAGUAUUUUCUUUCUUAAAAAGAAAAAAAGAAAAAAAAUUGCUUUUUAAUUGGAAGAAAUUAUUUUAUAAUUGUUAUGAAUUUUUCAUUAUUAAAUCAACAUCUAUUGAUAUCAAAAUAAAUUUGAUUUACUCUAUAUUUUUCUAUAAACAUUACUAUUAAUCAAUAAAAACAGGAAUAUGUUUGUGCUUUUCCAUAGUUAUAGCUCUGUUUAGGAUGUGGUAGAUGGUAUCAGUUGGACGAGAAGUUAUUCGCCACCCUCAAUGGCUAUGUACCAUUCGAAUUUUAUGGCUUUUGAUUCAAAAUAGUUAGCUCCAAAAUGUGGUUAUGUUAAGCUUAAUACAAAUGGUGUAAUUUCGUCUAGCUCUCACUCAAUUACAAUUAAAGGAGUCAUUAACUAUGUUAAUAGUAAUUAGUUAUGUGGUUAGUCGAUGACAUUAUAAGGAAAUAUGAAGUGUAUAAAAUUAAAGCAAGAUCGAUGUUAGAAGUGCUACAACUAACUUAGGACAAGGGUUAUCCACAUGUUAAGUUUGAAUAUAUGUUAUUUUAUUUAAAAAAAGUUACGUUCCAUAAUAAUAAUAAUAAUAAGUUCAGCUAUUUGCUGUCCAAAGAACAGUAAUUACCAACCUCACACCCAAAAACAGCUCUUCAGAACUUCUGAUAAAGAGAGAUACUUAUCCACUAAUACAUAAAAUAUUCUACUAAUACUUGCAGAUCAGUUUGUGGAAUCUGUUCUGGACCAGCAGGAGAAAUGGAACAGGCUAUUGUGUCCUUAGCUGUUGAAAGAAUUUCUGAUUUACUCAUCCAUGAAGCUGUUUUCCUCAGAGAUGUGAAAGAUCAAGUUGAGAGCCUAAUGGCUGAACUGAAGCGAAUGCAGUGUUUCUUGAAGGACGCGGCUCGCAAUCUUGAACAAGAUGCGCGUUUCCAGAAUCGGGUGUCGGAAAUCAGAAAUCUUGCUUAUGAUGCUGAAGAUGUCAUCGACUCUUUUAUUCUUAAAGCAGCAUAUCAACGAGGUUUUCUUGGGAUUGUCAAGAGAUUCACCUCCAUUUUCACCAAACCUUAUCAUCUGCACAAAAUCGGGUUGCAGGUCAAAGCAAUCAAGACCAAGCUCCAAAACAUUUCCGAGAAUCUUCCAGCUUUUGAAAUACCCGAUGAUGGAGAAGGCUCUAGCUCAAUUUUCAAGGUGCAGCAACAGUUUAGAAGGACAUACUCACAUGUCGAGGAAGAGGACGUUGUUAGCUUGGAAGUUAGCACGAAGGAUGCCAUGACCAUGUUGCUGUUUGAAGAAGAUAGACCCCACGCCGUGGUUUCCAUAGUCGGCAUGGGAGGCCUCGGUAAGACUACUCUUGCCAGAAAAGUAUAUAAUCAUGUUGAUGUGAGACGCCAUUUUGAUUUCUUGGCUUGGUUUUCUAUCUCUCAACAAUGUAAGCCGAGAGAGGUUUUGCUUGGUGUCUUGAAGAAAGUUCUCUCUCCUUCUAACGAUGAAAGAGAGAAAAUUGAGAAAAUGGACGAGAUUGAGCUGAGGAGAACGCUUUUUGAUGCUUUGAAAGAAAAGCGGUAUUUGGUGGUCCUCGAUGAUAUUUGGAGAAGCGAGGACUGGGAUAUUCUUAAACCUGCUUUUCCACCAGGAAGAAAGGGAAGCAAAAUAUUGUUCACAACACGAAUAAAAAAUGUGGCUUCACGUGCCGAUCCAUGGAGCACUCCCGUGGAGCUCUCACUUCUUACAGAUGAUGAAAGUUGGAAUCUUUUGUGUAGGAAAGCAUUCCCACGGAGCAAAAUGGGUUCUCAAUGCUGCUCAGAAGAAUUUGUGAAGCUUGGAAAAGAGAUGGUGAAAAAAUGUGGAGGCUUGCCUUUAGCAAUUGUUGUGUUGGGUUGCUUGCUGGCAACAAAACAGUCAGUGGCUCAAUGGGAGAUGGUUCAUAAAAACAUCCAUGGACACUUAAAUGAGCUCCCACAUCAAGAUCGUCAAUAUGGGGCAGUGAACAGAAUUUUGGUUUUAAGCUACAAUGACUUGCCUUAUCCUUUAAAACCAUGCUUUUUGUAUCUUAGUCAUUACCCAGAAGAUUGGGAGAUACCGAAAAAAGAACACAUUCGUUUAUGGAUCGCUGAAGGUUUCAUUCCGGAAAACAAAGAAUUCUUGAUGGAGGAUUUAGGCGAAAAAUUCCUAGAAGAGCUUAUAGAUAGGAGCUUGGUUCAAGUUAGCAGGCGAGACUAUACAGGAACAAAUGUGGAGACAUGUCGAGUGCAUGAUCUCUUGAGGGAGUUGUGCACGAAGAAAGCAAGAGAUGAGAAGUUCUUGGAAAUUAUUCAACAACCACAGCAUGAACUUGAAGUGACAUUGGCAGAAUCUAUGCUACGAAGAAUUUCUAUUCAUCCUAGUAAAUCGAAAGUUUAUGUGAAGGGAGAGCAUCCAAAAUUACGCUCUUUGUUGUUUUCUCAGAAUGAGGAAUUGGUAGAAUUAUGCAUUUCAAAAUACAAAAGCUUCAAAAUUUUAAGGGUGUUGACUCUUGCAAAAAGGGGCAACUACGAUAAGUGGUGGCAUGUGUCGACUGAAAUUGGUAAUCUCCAACAUUUGAGAUACUUGAAGUUAUACUACAAUAACAAAAUGAUUUUGCCGCGAUCUUUUGGCAGGUUGAAGAAUCUAUACACUUUAUACAUCAAGUUUUGUGAUGACAUUGUAAUUCCAGAUGGUGUGUUUAAGUUAGAACGUUUAAGGCAUAUUGUAAUAAAAUCGUAUGUCUAUGGAUUUCGUUGGCGGCAAGGGUUCACUUCAAAAAAUAUUGAAACUUUGAAGGUCAUAGUGGUGGAUGAGAAGGCGGUUGAAAAUAAUGCGGUGCAUAGGUGGACUAAUAUUCAGAGUUUAGGAAUAGCAUUUACCAGAGCAAAAUAUGUGAAGCCUACCCUAAUCUUGCUAGCCAAAUUGCAACGCCUUAGGUCAGUGUCCUUACGUUUUUUUUAUGGCUCAGGCUCACACCUAGACUUAGAACCCCUUUCUCAAUAUUAUCACCUCUCCAAACUGAAAUUACUGGGUCGGAUAGAAGAUGAGACACAUCCGAACGGUCAUGUUUUGAAAUUUCUUCCAUCAAAUAUUGUCAAAUUAACUUUGAUAAACUGUGAGCUGAGACAAGAUCCAAUGGCGGUAUUAGAAAAGCUAUGUCAUUUGAGGAUUCUCUAUUUGGAGGGAGCAUAUAUUGGGAGUAAAAUGGUGUGCUCUGCAAAUGGAUUUCCUAAACUUGAUUUUCUUGGAAUGAUUUUAAGAAAGCUGGAGGAUUGGGAAAUAGGUGCAAUGCCAUGCCUUCGAGAAUUGGAGUUGAUCCAUGUUAAGAGUUUAAGGAUGCUUCCAGAAGGAUUGAGGUACAUUACUACUCUCCAAGAAUUGAAUUUAAUGUUAGGGAUAUCUUCGUCAUUGAAAGAAAGGAUUGAAGUGAUAGAUGGAAAAGAAGGAGAGGAUUUCUAUAAAGUGCGCCACAUUCCCUCCAUCCACAUUAAAUAUUGAUCCCAAAAUAAUAGGAGCCAACAUCACGUGAGGUAUUUAUAUCUAUAAAAUAAUAAUUUUUACAUUCUUUUUUCUUUUCUUUUUAACCCAUAGAGUUAGAGAUUGAUAUAAUAUUGAUAAAAUAACAUAAUAGAAGAAUAUAUCUUCAAUUACCAUAAAAAUUAUAAUUAAAAUAUAAAAAAAUAAGAAUUUUGAAUAUUUUUCUAGAAAAACUAAAUUUUUAAUAUCAUUUUAUUAUUUCGUAUUUUUAAUUAUUAUACAUAAGAGAUGAUGAUAUAUACAUACCAUUUUUUUCUUGAUGUAGGUUUUCCUAAUCAGCACUGGAAUGCACUUUGCCGAGAUCUAAUUUCAUUGUGUGUUUGCUAUAUAUCUAAUGCUCGCUUCCGGCCUCCCAAUUUGCUUUUUUUUUUUUUAAUUUAUCUUCUUAUUAAUUGGUCAUUUGCAUCUAUUUCAUUGAAAUUAAUCAAUUUAAACCAAAGAAAGAAAUUCUAAGUAACUCAUUAGAUGUUAAAUGGUUAAAUUCAUUAUUUAAAUAGUAAAACAACCUCUUUAAAUUUACAACUCACUAUUUCUAUUAAAAAUUAGAUGAUACAAUGUCAAUCAAAACAUAUAAUAUGUAUACUUUUAUAUGACAUAACAAAAUUAUGUACGAUUUCUUAUAACCAAAUGUAUAAAACAAAUUUAUACUAAUCUUGACUUAUGUGGAAUGAUGAUUAAACUUUUUUAUCAAGUACCCGUUUAAAACAAGUUCAAACUAUAUGACUCCCAUCCCCACCCGAAUAUUAUAUAAAAAGAGUCAACAUUAAUCAUUUUAAAACUUUUAACCGUUUAAUCAAUGAUAUUAAUCAUUCCAUAAAGUUUUUUUUUUAAUCAAAAUCAUCAUAAAGUAUUAAAUACUUUUUACUCAUUUACUAUUUACUAAGAAUAAACCGAUAAUUAAAUAUCUUUGAGUCUAGAAUUAUUUCAACUUUUACCUUGAACCAAACACGGUACUGAAACAUACCUAGUAAUGCGCUAAUCAUCGGGUUAAUCAAACAUUUUGUGAACUAAACUCCCUUUUAAUCUAAAUUCAAAAAAGUUUGUGUGCUUAAGAAAGUUGAGUUUCUCAUAAUUUAUUCUACCUAUAAACAAUAACAGAGUAGCUACUCAACUUUCUAUUGAAGACUUGUUUUAAUAAGGUUACACAAAUCAAAAUGCAUUAAAUUCAGGGAACUCUAUGUACUAAGAUAAUCGUGUUAAAUGCUUCAUUUUCAAUCAACCGAGAAGCAUUUAUAUACAUGUUUCUGAAAAGUAAAAAUCUUAGCCUCACAUUUGUAAGCAGUUUUACUCUGAUAUGAGACAAGCCUACUGAUGAAACAGAAGUUACGGCAAUGUGAUCAGAAGAGGCAUUCACUAACCUCACACGAUAAUGUUGUUUAAUCAGCGCUCAAAGCAAUUGACGAAGCUGCUGAUUUUCUUUCCGGAGAGACUUAACCUCUUCCAUCAGUUCAGCUUGGUUCUGUAAUAUGGAGCUCAUCACACGAGACAUCUCCAUCUGUUCCAAUAAUUUCCGCAAAUUAGAGCUGAGAAUAUUUACAUGAAAGCCAAAGCAACAUAAAGGAAAGGACUAUAGGAAAAUACCUCCUGCAUGUGGAAUUGUCUUAAAAUUUCAAUAUGCAAGUUUCUCAUAUCUCCAUGAAGGGAUUUCUGAAAUGAAUCGAGGGUUUCUUCUAGAAUUCGUUGAAAUAGCUGAAGAGUAAAGUUGCUUCCUUGUUGGGGAUCUUGUUGAGAUGCUUUGGGGGGUUGUAAUGUUCCUCCCUAUUAUGGACACAAUCAAUGCAGUGUCAUGCCCGGGAAAAACAAACUAUGAAAUAUAUAGAAAUUCGUAAAACUCCUUCAUCCAGGAUGACUUCACUACUGAAAUGCAUAAAAAGACCAAAGUGAUUAGAGAAAUUAAUGUAGUGAAUAAUUAUUUAACCAAACCAGAUAUCAUACAUUCAUUGCUGGAAGAACUCCUGAGGCCGCUGCAGUCAAAGAAUCAGACCUCAAUAACAGGCUAUUAAACCGCUUUUCUCUGGUUUCAGCUCCUGUUUCCUUUUGUUUUUGGAGAAGCCACCAAAUGGGAUGUUCCAUCACUAAAUGCAGAUGUAGUACUAAUUCUCUCGGCAUAUGUCAAAAACCUUCGAGGCGGUGCUAAAGAAGCUAGUUUUGGUGAGUCAAGGCUGCCAGCUCUAGUAAUGCCUUUUGAACCAAAAGAUAAAGCAGACAUGGAGCUCGAGGAGAAAUGUUCAGGAAAUCCCAAUGAAGAAGUCUCCUGAUUUGAAGAGACAUCUUUCGUGUGCAAAUUUUCAUAGCUAGGUUAGAACUGGUCUGACUGAGCAUUGAAGACUGAUCUUGUCCAGCAUAAAUAGAGCUCGUUGUCAGACCACCAGAAGCUUGCAUCCCAAAACGAGAUGGCAGCUGGCGAAGGUGAGCAAAUUUGUCUGAUAUCUUCUAACCAUCCCAAGCUUCUGGAGGAGUGAUGGAGGUCUCUUCACUCUUGGGAGAUGGUGUAGGGGUAGAUUCCAACGCUGUAAAAGACUUCGUCACAUCCUGUGAAGAUAAGUGGUGUACAAACUUCAUUAUGGGGAAAAAAGACUGAAAGGCCAUAUCAAUUGCUCUCAAAAAACCAAAUUAAGUAUCAGAAACAGUUCUAUGACUAAAGAACAUAGGAUAUAACAGCCUGUGAAUCAAGCUCAGCUAAUUCAUUUAUUAAGAGAAAUGAAAGUUGUUGGAAAUGACAUCCCACUGCAGAUGAUAAAAAGUUGUCUGCAAUUAUAUUGUAAAUCAGAGAAAUCCUCAAAACAUGCAAAGCCAUACUAAAACACUGUUGAUCUAUUGGACUUGUUAAUACAAGCAUGCAUAAUGCUCCAAACAUACAACAUAAUGCACAAAAAAAGCAAAUUCCCAUCCUAUGCAAAAAUGACAACUUAGGAUCAACUCAUAUACUUGCAUGAAACUAGCAGAACAUUACCAUGGAGAUUUAAAGUAAUAUCUUGUACAAAAAAAAUCAAAAUAAAUAUGUUAUGCAUUACUGUCAUCAAUAAUAAACAAGCAAAAAGCAAAAAAUCUGUUGAGACAUUGAACUGGACUUUCAAUCAAGUAAUGGUGAUCACUGGCUCCAUCAUCAGCAAAAGCAAACCUCCUGCUAGAAGGAAACAGUAGGGAGGAUGGCUUCUUAUAUUGGGUAGGUGCUCUUUUUUUGCACCAUCAUGACCAUCCCACAGCUUAUCCAGCGAGGGUGUAAUAGGAUGAACAUCCACAAGAGGGGAAAAUACCUCCAUAUCAUCCUUAAAAUUGAAUGUAGAACGAGGAGCAUGUAAUCUCGUUAGUGUUUCACCUGGCCAUAGAUGGCUUCUAAUUGGCUUCUAAUAGUAAAACAACCCAUUUAAAUUUGAACUUUAGAAAUUUAUUUAUUAUUUAUUGUACUAGCUUUGAGUUACGAAAAUCUACAGUAGUCACUUUCAAAAUGGUUAGUGUUGCACAGAUGAAGCUCUAUUUAAUCGAUUUAAUCGAAUUUUUUAAAAUAAAAGUAAAAUGGUUAGCUUUUUAUUUCAUCGAUUUAAUAGAAUUUUUUAAAAUAGAUGAAGCUCGCCAACUCACUGAUAAGAUUGAGUUGUUAGGAAUUUUGAAAUUCUAAAUUCUAAAUUUUAUUUUGUAUAAAUUAUAUAUGAAACCCCUCAAAUAAAUAAAUUCUCUUUUUAAAACCUUUUUUUCACCAUUAAAAUUAAACAAAAAUCGUGAUUGUUUUAUUUUCUCAAUUUUUUUUUUAUUUUCUUUCAACAUUCUUUGUACUGUUGUUUUCCACGUGGUCCUUUUAUUCUUGAUAAGAUUUUUUACUGGCCGGCAAAAAAGAUUUGGAGGACGUGGGUUUGAACGUUAAUAAACAAGUACUAAAAUUGUGAAGUUUAUUGAUGGGUAAUUUAGGUAUAGUAUAAAAAAAUUAAUAUAAUAAAAAUAACAAAUAAUUGGAGUAAAGUACACUUAAGGUCACUAAACUACUAGUAAGUUUACGUUUUGGUUAAUUAACAUUUAAAAGUUACAAAACAGUUACUAAAUUAUUUGAAAGUCUUCUUUUAAGUCAUCAGGUUGUUAAAAUCACAGUUAUAUGGCAUUCAUUGUUUGCCCGCUAACUCUUCUACCCCUGCUUUUCUAUAGUUUAGGUUUUUUUUCAUGAAAUAAUUUUAAAUGUCACGUAUCUACGAAUUAAAAUCUAAAUAGCUUUUUUUCUCCGUUCUUCGACACCAACCAUCAGAUUGACUUGAUCUGAUAUAUGUUCUUCUACUCGUCGAUGAGUAUUUAUCCAUCGUACCAUUCAUCAAAUUGUCGCUUUAACCUCGCUAGUCGGACUUUUUUAAAGAAAAAACUAAUAGUCCAAUAACUUAAAUAAAAGUUGUUGGAUAAAUUAGUGACUUAAAUGAAAAUCCUCAAAUAAUUUAAUAAUCAUUUUGUAAUUUUUUGGAGUUAAUUAAAUAAUCAAAACAUAAAUUUAGUAAUAGUUUAAUGGCUUUGAGUAUAAGUUAGCCACGUAAUUAUCAUUUUUUCUUUUGGACUUAUCCAAUCAAUUACGAGCAAUGACCGUUGGGUCUUCAAAGAGGAGAGGAUUUCUAUGAAGUAGGCCACAUUCCCUCUAUCCAAAUACAGUAAUUUGCUUAUAUCUAAAUAGGUGCAUUAGAAAUUUAUUUCUCCAAAAUAAUAGUCUCUUCUCUACUUCUUUUUCGUUUUUUUUCUAAAACGAAACUUGCAAUAUCAUUUCAUAAUUUCUAUUUUAUAUUCUUUUUUAUCAUUAUUAUUAGUAUAGAUAAAAGAUGAUAUACCAAUUUCAUGUUGUUGCUGGUAGGGUUGGAUGCUUUCUUUCAUCUCCAAAUGCAAGCCUGCAAAGAAGCUCAACAUUAAUUGAUUCUUCGUCGAUUUAUUAAGUUGAUGGAUUUUAAGGAAAGAUUUAUAUUUAAAGCUUAGAAAUUUAUUUAUUGUUUAUUGUACUACUCAAUUUUCUCUUAUUUUCUUUCAACAUCCUUUAUACUAUAUUUUCUAAGUGGUCCUUUCAUUUUUGAUAAAAAAAUUUAUUAAUCGGGCAAAAAAAAUUUGGGAUGUGGGUUUCAACGUUAAUAAGGGUGUAAUAUCCGCAUUGUGAAAUUUAUUUACGAGUAAUUUAAGUAUUGUAUAAAGACUAACACAGUAAAAAUAAUAAAUAAUUGGAGUAAAUAACACCAAAGGUCACUAAAUUACUAUUUUGGUCAAUUAAUUUUAAAAAGUUACAAUAUGGUCACUAAAUUAUUCGAAAGUUUUUAUUUAAGUUAUUGGACUAUUGAAAUCUUUAUUAUUGUCGAAACCAUUUUUUUAAUUUUUUUUUAAAAAACAAAAAUUAAAAAUUGGGAAUCGCUACCAAUCUUUUAUUGAGGUGUGAUUGGAUCACCUAAAAAAUAACUUUGGUCUACGAGUUUUAGAAAAAUGGAUCCGGGAGUUGGUUACGUACGAGGAAGGAUUAGCACCCUCGUAACGUCCAAAAUUGAUACCUAGUUAAUUAAUUAGUGUCUUAAUGUCGAAAAUUUAAAAAUAUGAUCCUUAAUAAAAACUUAAAAAAGUUACUUAUUAAGACUCUUAUCAUUUCGGAGAAAAAAAUGUCACACCCAAUGCGUUAGGGCACGACAUUCUAAUUCCUCAAAAAUGAAUUAGUCCAAAAUACUCGUAUAAUAAAAUUUAAAAGAAUAUUCAUUUGUUUAAGAUUUAUAAAGAAAUCGCGGUCCAAUACGUUAGGGCACAAUUUCUCAAAAUCCCAAAUAUUGAAUAUUUCCUUUACUAAUUUUUAGAAAAAAAAAUCUUUAUUUCGAGAAAUCUACACGUCACAUCCAAUGCAUUAGGACACAACAUAUUAAAUUCCCGACAACAAGUUUUUUUGUUUGAUUAAAAAACAUUCUCGAUAAUUAAAUUCAACGAAGAAAAUUGGAACCCAAUGCGUUAGGGCUCAAUCUUUUCGAAGAUUCUAAAUACGAGUAUUGCCUUUAUUUUGAAAACUUUUGAAUAAAAUGAUUUUGAUGCUUGAAUGAUAUCGAACAUAGCCUUUUAAGCGAAUAGAAUGCAAUAAAUGAUAAUAUACAACAGGGAGCGAUAAUUCGUAAAUAAAACAUACACUAAUGAAUGAUAAAUAACAAAUGAAUUCGAAAGAAAAUACAUAAACCUAUUUAAGAGAGAAUUUAAAGGUAAUAGCUAAAAUAAUAUGAAAUCAAUAAUAUAUAGAAUAAAAAUAAGUUAUUACAAAUUAUAUAUGUAUAUAUAAAAUAGUAUUGUAUAAAAAUAUUUUCAUAUAAAUCUUUAAGACAUAUAAACAUGUAAAGUGAAUUUCGAAAAUAUAUUACAAAAUAGGAAUAUCAAAGAAUAUAUACAAAUCAUGUUGAAUUUACCUAAAAUAUAAAAAAGUGUGAUAAAUCGAAAUAAUAGCAAUAUAUAUUGAAUUUCAAAAUAAUGAUACAUUAUAAUUUUUAAAAAGGGUAAUAUAUAUACAUAUAAUUCAAUAAACUUAUAGCCAUAAUACAUAUAAAACGUAAAAUAAAAUAGAAAAUACUAAGCUUAAUCAUUAAAAUAGUAUUAGAUUCAAAAUUAAAUAUAUAUAUUUUUAAAAAUAGUGGAGUAAGAAAUCAAGCACAUUGAAUUAAUAAGGAUUUAAAUUGAACUCCAAACAGAAUUAAAGGAAAAAAAAAUGAAGGGCCCAAUUAAAAGGCGCGAAUGACUUAUAGGGCUCGAAUGGGAAAAUAUAUCCAUCCUUUGAAACGCGUCACUUUAUUAGGACUAAAUAAAUAAAUAAAUAAAAUUCGUAGUGGUAUCACCUUCUCCCUUUUUUAAAAUCGUAAAUAAGUAAAAAAUAAUCGAAAAAAAACAGUAAGCCACCUUUAAAAAACUGCCAAUCGUUCUCCAUUUUUUUAUUGAUUUUUCUCCUCCUUCUACAAUAAAGGGAGAUGCCUCUAUUUAUAGCUGAGCCUCCCCAAAUCCAACGGUACAGAUCAAUUACAUCAACGAUUAAGAUUAAAGGGUAUCUACAAAUUAAAUCUCUAAGAUUACAAAAUCAUAUUUUCUAAGAUUGCAUAUCAUAUUCAAGAUUACAUAUAUCAUAUCUAAGAUUGCAUAUCCUUGAAGAUUAUGUUUCCAUAAGCUUGUAGAUGGACCUUCAACCUUUUCAAGUACUGGGUCAUUCCGAUCGGGCCAAAUGAUAUAAUUUUAUACUAGACUUAGACUUUAUUUUAUUAUUUUGGGUUUAUUAUUUUUUGUGAGCCCGGGCUAAAAUUGAGCAUUACAAGUAUAUGGCAUUUAUUGUUCACAUCGCCUGCACCAAUAAUAAACUCUUUCCCCUUACUCUUCUACAAUUUAGGGUUUUUUUAAUAAAAUAACUUUAAAUAUCACGUAUCUACGAACUAAAAUCUAAAUAGUUCUUCGAUACCGACCAUCAAAUUGACUUAGUCUAAAAUAUAUUCUUUUACUCGUUGAUGAGUAUUGAUCUAUUGUAUUGUUCAUCGAAUUGUCGCUUGAACCUAGCUAGUCAAACUAUUUUUUUAAAAAAAACUUAAUAGUUCAAUGACUUAAACAAAAAAUUUUAAUAGUUUAAUGACUUAAAUGAAAAUUAUUGAAUAUUUUAAUAACUAUCUUUUAAUUUUUUAAAGUUAAAUAAUUAAAAUAUAAAUUUAUUAAUAGUUUAGUGAAGUUGAGUAUAAUUUAUCCAAAUUAUUAUAAUUUUUUCUUUUGGUCUUAUCCUAUCAAUUAUGAAUUGCAAACAACUUUUAUUCCCAAUGUGUGGAAAAUCUGUUGGCGCUUAAAGCUUUUUCUAAAAGCAAUUUUGUUUUUAUUUUAAAAAAAUAGCUUCUAGAUUUGGAGUUUUAUUUUAGUUGAACGGCACACGGCUUUUGAAUAAUUAAAUAUGUUAUGGCUGCUCUACGGGAGUGGACUGUGGCUUUUCCGAGUAGGGCUAAAACCUGUCUUGUUUGAUUGAAUAGUUUGAUUGAUGAAUUAUCUAUUAAGGCUUUUUUAUAAAAAUAAUUCAAAAAAUUUGAUUAUUUAUUUUUAUUAAAUACACAAAUGACAUAAAAUAACGACAUUUUAAAAAUGGAUGACGCAGGUAGUUUUAGACAUUGGUAGCGUCAAAUUAUUUAGUUUCACCAGAAAAAAAAAAUUUUUUUUAAGUUCUCUCAAUUUUUCAAAAAUAGCGAUAUUUUCUUAAUAUUUAUACAGGUAACGUCAUUUUACAUGAUUCUACUAAAAAAUAAAUUUUUAUCCCGAUUGCUGACGUGGUAUGUUGGUGACGUCAAACUCCUUGACUCCACCAUCUUUUACUGUAGGUUUUAGAUCAUUUACAUGUUUAAUAAAAAAUGGAUUAUUUUCAUAAAUAAUCAAAAUUUUUGAGUUAUUUUUAUAUAAAAAAAAGCCUUUAUUUAUGAGUUCAGUUAUUUAUUUAAGCGCAAAAGUCCAUCUUAUAUAUAUAUAUAUAAAAACCGAAUAAAACGAUUUCUUUUUUCUACAAGAAUUUCCAUCAAACGUUAGUUUUUCUAUUCUUGAAACUGACGAGGAAUGUUGAGGAGUGGCAUGUGUCAAGUGAAAUUGGUAAUCUCCAUCAUUUGAGCUUAAGAUGCAAACUCAAAAUACUCUUGCCAUGGGCUAUUGGAAAUUAGCUGAAGAAUUUACACACUUUAUACCUCUAAUGCCAUUAUGACUCUGUAAUUCCAAAUGUAGUGUUCAAGUUGGAAUGUUUAAGGCAAUUUGUGAUGAAAUGGUAUACAUACCCUUGUUAAAAAAGUUGUUUUCUCCUGUGCCUGUUGGAACAUUUUCAAAUAUUUAUAGUAUCCCAAUAACUAUAAAUGAAUGGGUGUAAUUAAUCAAAAGAUAAAACUUUUGGCCAUUGGUCAAAAGUUAUACCAUUUGAUUUUAUAAAAAGAAUUAUAGCUAUUCAAAAAAAUAUUAUUUGAAUAGUUACAAAAUUAAAUGAAUAAAUAUUAUUAUUUAUUUAUUCAUAAAGACACCUAUUGAAAGAUGUCUCUAUGAAGAGACAUGAAAAUUCCUAUAAAUAGGAAUGGGAUUUCAUUUGGAAAGAUAUCAACAAAUUCUAAUUUUAUUUCUUCUCUUCCUUCAUUUUCUAAUAUUAUUAGAUUAUUCUAUAAAGUAUUGCUGCAGAAAUCCUUUGUAGAAAUUGAGUUUUUGUUAUACAUUACUCAGUGCAUAGUGGACUAUUCUCGUCAGUGCAAAACGCAAAUAGUCAUUGGCUUCAUUGUAUCCUCGAGGUUAAUUUGCUUGGAACUCGUUUGCACACUGAAGAUAAGUGGGGGCGAAUAUAACCUUAAAGAUAGUGGCUUGAUACACGCCUUGGAGACUGUCCUAUUUCUUCUUUUCUUUUCAAGUUCCGAUCGUGUGUUCGAGAUUUUCCUUACCGGAGUUUUGUACUAACAAUUUUAAGGUUAUAAUUCAUGAUGACUACCACAACACAUGAAAGUGGAACACUAAGGGAGUUGGCUUCCAACUUUGUUAAACUUGAUCGUUUUGAUGGUGGCAAUUUUCGACGAUGGCAGAAAAAGAUGCACUUUUUGUUAUCAAUUUUGAAGAUUGCUUAUGUUUUGAAUACUCCAAGACCUGAAAAGAAUGAAAACGAAUCUGUUGCUGCAACCCGAGAAAGACAAAAAUGGGACAAUGCUAAUUACAUGUGCAUGGGCCACAUAUUGAAUGGUUUAUCUGAUGGUUUGUUCGACACCUACCAAAACAAGGUCACCGCUAAAGAAUUAUGGGACAAAUUGGAGACAAGAUACAUGACCGAAGAUGUUACAAGUAAGAAAUUUCUUGUCAGUCAUUUCAAUAAUUAUCAAAUGGUUGAUGGUCGUUCUGUUAUGGAACAAUUUCGUGAUAUUGAAAAGAUGCUGAAUCAAUUUAAGCGAUAUGAUAUGAAAAUGGAUGAAAUGAUUGUGGUAUCCUCCAUAAUAGUCAAACUUCCUCCAUCUUGGAAAGACUUUAAAAGAAGUCUAAAACAUAAGAAAGAGGAAAUAUCUCUUGAGGCUUUGGCAAAUCAUCUUCGUAUUGAAGAAGAGUAUCGAAAACAAGAUCAGAACUUAAAUUCUAAAAAUGCCAAAGUACAUGUUACGGAGGAAGUACAGACUACUAAACCAUUCAAGAGAAAGUUCAAUCAGACUGAUAGAGCACCUAAGUUUAAAAAGAAACAAAAGGGCUCAUGCUAUCAUUGUCGAAAGCCAGGACAUUUCAAGAAUGAAUGUCGAUUUUUAAANNNNNNNNNNNNNNNNNNNNNNNNNNNNNNNNNNNNNNNNNNNNNNNNNNNNNNNNNNNNNNNNNNNNNNNNNNNNNNNNNNNNNNNNNNNNNNNNNNNNNNNNNNNNNNNACAUGUGUGCAAAGACAAAAACAUGUUCACAAAGUUCACACAAUGUGAAAAUGACAAUGUCUUGUACAUGGGAAAUUCUUCCAUCGCAGCAAUUAAAGGCAAAGGGUCUGUUGAACUACAAUUCACUUCUGGAAAGGUUUUAACCUUAAAUGAUGUAUAUUAUGUACCAGAAGUUAGGAAGAAUUUAGUGUCUGGAAGUAUGUUGAAUAAGUUUGGUUUCAAACUUGUUUUUGAGGCAGAUAAGUUUAUUUUGUCUAAUGGAGGUAUUUUUGCGGGGAAAGGGUAUAUGUAUGAGAGCAUGUUCAAACUCAAUAUUAUUAAUAAGAAUAAAAAUACUAUUUCUGCUUAUAUGGUUGAAUCUUUUGGUUUGUGGCAUUAUNNNNNNNNNNNNNNNNNNNNNNNNNNNNNNNNNNNNNNNNNNNNNNNNNNNNNNNNNNNNNNNNNNNNNNNNNNNNNNNNNNNNNNNNNNNNNNNNNNNNAAUUAGAUUUAAUUCCUGCUUUUAAUAAUAAUAUUGAAAAAUGCAAUACAUGUAUGUUGACUAAAAUUACAAGAAAUCAUUUCCAUAAGGUUAAAAGGAAAACAAAAUUGCUUGAUUUGAUACAUAGUGAUUUAUGUGACUUGCAUAAUACUCCUACAUUAGGUGGAAAGAAAUAUUUUAUUACUUUAAUUGAUGAUUGUUCUAGAUAUUGUUAUGUAUAUUUAUUGCAUUCAAAAGAUGAAGCGCUUGAUAAAUUUAAAGUUUAUAAAUCUGAAGUUGAACUUCAGUGUGAAUCAUUUAUCAAGUGCUUAAGAUCGGAUAGAGGUGGAGAAUACUAUAAUCCAAGUUUUUUUGAACUCACUGGAAUUGUCCAUCAAGUUUCAGCCUCUUACACACCACAAAAAAAUGGUGUAGCUGAAAGAAAAAUAGAGUCUUGACUGAAAUGGUAAAUUCAAUGUUAUCAUAUUCGGUCUUGGACAAGGUUUUUGGGGAGAAGCUGUUCUAACANNNNNNNNNNNNNNNNNNNNNNNNNNNNNNNNNNNNNNNNNNNNNNNNNNNNNNNNNNNNNNNNNNNNNNNNNNNNNNNNNNNNNNNNNNNNNNNNNNNNAGGAAACUAAAAUAACCCCCUAUGAACAAUGGAAGAAAAGGAAACCAAACCUUAAUUAUUUGAAAGUUUGGGGUUGUAGAGCUAUUGUAAAAGUUCCAACACCUAAACGUAAAAAGUUAGGUGAAAGAGGAAGUGAAUGCAUAUUUAUAGGUUAUGCACAUAAUAGCAAGGCAUAUAGGUUCAUAGUAAUUGAACCAAAUGAUUCAAUUUCAAUUAAUACGGUUAUUGAAUCAAGAGAUGCUAUUUUUGAUGAAAAUAGAUUUAAUUCUAGAUCAAGACAAUUACAACCACAACAAUUGAUUCAUUCUUCAAAUGAGAAUGAGAUUCCAUUGAAACAAAUUGAUAAUAAUGAUGAAUCUUGUCAAGAAUUAAGAAGAAGUAAGAGGAUUAAAAAGGUCAAAGAUUUUGGACCAGAUUUCAUUAUGUUUCUUAUAGAAGGAAAAUGUGAAAGUAUAUGCAAUAAGAUACCUUAUUGUUAUAAUACCGAAUCUGAUUCUAUUACAUUUGAAGAAGCAGUGAAAUCUCAAGACUCUGCUUUUUGGAAAGAAACAAUAAAUGAUGAAAUAGAUUCAAUAAUGGGAAAUCAAACUUGGAUCUUAGUUGAUCUUCCACCAGGUUCCAAACCAAUAGGUUGUAAAUGGAUCUUCAAAAAGAAAAUGAAGGUCGAUGAAACCAUUGAUAAAAAGCAAGGUUGGUAGCAAAAGGUUUUACACAAAGACAAGGUAUUGAUUACUUUGAUACCUAUGCUCCAGUAGCAAGAAUUGCUACAAUUAGACUAUUAAUAUCACUUACCUCUAUAUAUAAUUUGGUUGUUCACCAAAUGGAUGUUAAAACUGCAUUUUUAAAUGGUGAAUUGGAAGAGGAAGUGUACAUGGAGCAACCGGAAGGAUUUGUUGUUCCAGGACAAGAGCAUAAGGUAUGUAAGCUUGUUAAAUCUUUAUAUGGGCUUAAACAAGCACCAAAACAAUGGCACCAAAAGUUUGACAAGGUUGUUUUAGCUAAUGGCUAUAAAAUAAAUGAAUCUGAUAAGUGCAUAUAUAGUAAAUUUGAUAAUGGAAAGGGUGUCAUAAUUUGCUUAUAUGUAGAUGACAUGCUCAUUUUUGGCACGGGAUUUGGGACCAAAUAGAAAACCACAAAGGAAAUUCUUGUCCAAACAACCUUUGCUAUGAAGGGAUUAUGGGUGUUAGCCAGGAUGUUUAUUCCUUGGGGAUUAAAAUAACCCGAGAUGAAAGCACUAUAGCUUUAUCACAAUCACAUUACAUUGAAAAUGUGCUUAAAAAGUUUGAUCUUUUCAACUGUAUACCAGCAUCUACACCCAUGGAUCCUCAAUUAAAAUUAGUAUCUAAUGGUGGUAGGAAAAUUGAUCAAUUGAAAUAUGCAAGUCUAAUUGGUUGUCUUAUGUAUAUAAUGACUUGUACAAGACCAGAUAUUGCAUAUGCUGUUGGAAAAUUGAGUAGGUACACAAGUAAUCCAAGUAGUUUGCAUUGGCAAGCUUUGAAUAAAGUACGUAGGUACUUAAAGAAAACUAUUAACUAUGGAUUGUGUUAUAAUGGAUAUCCUCCAGUUUUAGAAGGGUAUUCGGAUGCUAGUUGGAUUACAAGUUUGGAAGAUCAUGCAUCUACUAGUGGAUGGAUCUUUAUUCUUGGUGGAGGAGUCAUUUCUUGGGGUUCCAAGAAACAAACAUGUAUUACUGAUUCCACCAUGGCAGCAGAAUUUAUUGCAUUAGCCGCUGCAUCUAAAGAAGCAGAAUGGUUAAGAAAUUUGCUUUAUGAUGUACCUUUAUGGCCUAAGCCAAUUUCACCUAUUUCUAUCCGUUGUGAUAGUGAGGCUACUCUAGCAAAGGCAUAUAGCCAAGUAUAUAAUGGAAAGUCUAGACACAUUGGAUUAAGACAUAGUUAUGUCCGACAAUUAAUCUCUGAUGGAGUGAUCACUAUUAAUUAUGUGAGGUCAAGUGAAAAUUUGGCAGAUCCUUUGACAAAAAGUCUUGCUAGAGAUGCAGUAAAAAGNNNNNNNNNNNNNNNNNNNNNNNNNNNNNNNNNNNNNNNNNNNNNNNNNNNNNNNNNNNNNNNNNNNNNNNNNNNNNNNNNNNNNNNNNNNNNNNNNNNNGGACUCAAGCCUAUUAAUUAGAGUCACCCAUGAUGGAAACUCGACUCAACGCUUGGUAUAACGUCAAGUCUUAAGUUUAAUGAGACAAAGUACAUCAUUAGUAUGUGACUGUUAGCACUAUAAAUAAAUUCAUCCUAAGAUUAAAGUGCUAGGUACCCGUAAUGAUAAGGGAAGGAUGAGUAAUAUACUCUUAAUGGACCCAUAACAUAAAUAUGUUAGAGUGUUAUAAUUAUGGGAACACUUUUGAUGGGAUCUACCUAUGUGAGUAGAAGUGUGGCCGCUUCUAGGAGCUUAAGGGCUUGGCUCUGACAGCACUCAUGAAAAGAGGACAUAGACACAUGGCCAUAAUAGUGUCCCUAGAUACUAUGCAUUGACUGAUGUUGAAAUCAUUGUGUGAGAUGUGUUCAGUUAAUCAAAUGGAAUAGUUGGUUCAAAGCUUAGUCUACCAUGCAAUUUCGAUUAACUUUAACAUGUUUUUCACUAAGUGAAGGUUCAAUCGUAAGACACCUUCAUUUAUGCAAAUUGAUUUCCAAGAAUAUCAAAAUCUAAAUAUUUUGAAAAUGGGGGGAGAUUGUUGGAACAUUUUCAAAUAUUUAUAGUAUUCCAAUAACUAUAAAUGAAUGGGUGUAAUUAAUCAAAAGAUAAAACUUUUGGCCAUUGGUCAAAAGUUAUACCAUUUGAUUUUAUAAAAAGAAUUAUAGCUAUUCAAAAAAAUAUUAUUUGAAUAGUUACAAAAUUAAAUAAAUAAAUAUUAUUAUUUAUUUAUUCAUAAAGACACCUAUUGAAAGAUGUCUCUAUGAAGAGACAUGAAAAUUCCUAUAAAUAGGAAUGGGAUUUCAUUUGGAAAGAUAUCAACAAAUUCUAAUUUUAUUUCUUCUCUUCCUUCAUUUUCUAAUAUUAUUAGAUUAUUCUAUAAAGUAUUGCUGCAGAAAUCCUUUGUAGAAAUUGAGUUUUUGUUAUACAUUACUCAGUGCAUAGUGGACUAUUCUCGUCAGUGCAAAACACAAAUAGUCAUUGGCUUCAUUGGAAUUGGAACUCGUUUGCACACUGAAGAUAAGUGGGGGCGAAUAUAACCUUAAAGAUAGUGGCUUGAUACACGCCUUGGAGCCUGUCCUAUUUCUUCUUUUCUUUUCCUUACCGGAGUUUUGUACUAACAGUGCCAAAGCUUUUCUUCAAAAAAUAUUGAAACUUUGAAGCACAUGAUGGUAAAUAAGAGGUUUAUUGAAAAUAAUGAGGCAAUUAGGUUGACUCAUAUUUAAUGUUUAGGAAUAAUAUUUAAGAGUUCAAAAGAUAUUAAGUCUAUCUUACUGUUGCUAAUCAUAUUGGAUCGCCUUGGGUCAUCGUACAUGUGUUUGCUUGACUAUAUGAACCAUGACAAGUGAACUCAUUCUUCAUAUCUAGACUUGGAACCUCUUUAUUAGUGUCGUCACCUCUCCAAAUUGAAGUUAAUAGGGCAUAUAAAAGAAGAUCCACAUCAGAGCCAUCAUGUUUUGAGCCAUCAUGUUUUGGAAUUUCUUCUGUCAAGUAUUGUCAAGUUAACUUUAGAUGACUCUAUGAUGAUCCAUGAUUCAAUGGGUGUGUUGGAAAAGUUACAUUGUUUGAGGAUUCGGAAGUUAGAGAGUUCAACAUAUGAUGAGAGUAAGAUUAUAUGCUUUGCCAAUGGGUUUCCUCAACUUGAUGCUCCUGAAAUUAGAUUUCUACCAGGGUUGAAGGAGUGCGAAAUAGAAGAAGGCGCAAUGGCACGCCUUUAAAGAUUGGAAUUGGUCAAUGUUAAUAGUCAUUGAAAGAAAUAAUUAAAGUGAUAGAUGAAAGAGGAGAGGAUUUCUAUGAAGUAGGCCACAUUCCCUCUAUCCAAAUACAGUAAUUUGCUUAUAUCUAAAUAGGUGCAUUAGAAAUUUAUUUCUCCAAAAUAAUACUCUUCUCUACUUCUUUUUCGUUUUUUCUAAAACGAAACUUGCAAUAUCAUUUCAUAAUUUCUAUUUUAUAUUCUUUUUUAUCAUUAUUAUUAGUAUAGAUAAAAGAUGAUAUACCAAUUUCAUGUUGGUGGUGGUAGGGUUGGAUGCUUUCUUUCAUCUCCAAAUGCAAGCCUGCAAAGAAGCUCAACAUUAAUUGAUUCUUCGUCGAUUUAAGUUGAUGGAUUUUAAGGAAAGAUUUAGAUUUAAAUCUUAGAAAUUUAUUUAUUGUUUAUUGUACUACUCAAUUUUCUCUUAUUUUCUUUCAACAUCCUUUAUACUAUAUUUUCUAAGUGGUCCUUUCAUUUUUGAUAAAAAAAAUUAUUAAUCGGGCAAAAAAACAUUUGGGAUGUGGGUUUCAAUGUUAAUAAGGGUGUAAUAUCCGCAUUGUGAAAUUUAUUUACGAGUAAUUUAGUAUUGUAUAAUAAAUAACACAGUAAAAAUAAUAAAUAAUUGGAGUAAAUAACACCAAAGGUCACUAAAUUACUAUUUUGGUCAAUUAAUAUUAAAAAGUUAUAAUAUAAUUUUUGUCUUAAGUUGGGUUUGGAUGGGCGAUUAGGUGUGGUACGGUGCGUCACGCUAUAAUGUUGCUACAGUAUUUAAUCUCAUCGCCACCGUUAUUUUUACACUAAUAACAAAUAGACGCACCGCUCAUCUAAAUUCACUCUUAUAAGAUCAGUUAUGAGAAAUGACUGUUAUGAGGGUUGGCCUACUAACGUGAGUGAUUAUAAUUUUUCUUCACAUGCCAUUUUACUUUAUCGAUUUUGUGUGGAAUCCAAUGUGGAAAUUGAAAGCAGCUUUUGUUUUCAAUGUGGAAAAUCUAUUGUGCUUUUGGAAUUUUGUGUACACCUUACCUUUUCUUUCUUAAAAAGAUAAUAAAAAAAAAAAAACAAGCGAGUUUUCUUUUAGUCCUUUUUAAAAAUUGCUUUUUAAUUGGAAGAAAUUAUUUUAUAAUUGUUAUGAAUUUUUCAUUAUUAAAUCAACAUCUAUUGAUAGCAAAAUAAAUUUGAUUUACUCUAUAUUUUAUAUAUAAACAUUACUAUUAAUCAAUAAAAAUAUGUUGGUUAUUAUAAAAAAAUAGGGAUAUGUUUGUACUUUUUGAUAGUCAUAGCUCUGUUCAGGAUGUGGUAGAUACAUGUAUUAGUUAGACGAGAAGUUAUUCGUCACCCUCAAUGACUAUGUUCCAUUCGAAUUCUAUGGCUUUUGAUUCAAAAUGAUUAGCUUCAGAAAGUGAUUUAGUUAAACUUAAUACAGAUGGUGCAAUUUCGGUUGUAAUUGAAGGAAUCAUUAAAGAUGCUAAUAGUAAUUAGUUAUGUGGUUAGUUAAUAACAUUAAGAAAAUAUGAAGUGCUUAAAAUUGAAGCAAGAUCAAUGUUAGAAGGACUUUGACCAACUUAGAACAAGGGUUAUCGAUAAUAUAUGUUAUUUUAUUUAAAAAAAGUUACGUUCCAUAAUAAUAAUAAUAAGUUAAUUACCAACCUCACCCCCAAAAACAGCUCUUCAAAAUUUCUGAUAAAGAGAAAUACUUCUCCACUAAUACAUAAAAUAUUCUACUAAUACUUGCAGUUCAGUUUGUGGAAUCUGUUCUGGACCAGCAGGAGAAAUGGAAGAGGCUAUUGUGUCCUUAGCUGUUGAAAGAAUUUCAGAUUUACUCAUCCAUGAAGCUGUUUUCCUCAAAGAUGUGAAAGAUCAAGUUGAGAGUCUAAGGGCUGAACUGAAGCGAAUGCAGUGUUUCUUGAAGGACGCGGAUCGCAAUCUUGAACAAGAUGCGCGUUUCCAGAAUCGGGUGUCGGAAAUCAGAGAUCUUGCUUAUGAUGCUGAAGAUGUCAUCGACUCUUUUAUUCUUAAAGCAGCAUAUCAACGAGAUUCUCAUGGGAUUGUCAAGAGAUUCACCUCCAUUUUCACCAAACCUUAUCAUCUGCACAAAAUCGGGGUGCAGCUCAAAGCAAUCAAGACCGAGCUCCAAAACAUUUCCGAGAAUCUUCCAGCUUUUGAGAUACCCGGUGAUGGAGAAGGCUCUAGCUCAAUUUUCAAGGUGCAGCAACGGUUAAGAAGGGCAUACUCACAUGUCGAGGAAGAGGACGUUGUUAGCUUGGAGGUUAGCACCAAGGAUGUCAUGACCAAAUUGAUGACUGAAGAAGAUAGACCCCACGCCGUAGUUUCCAUAGUCGGCAUGGGGGGCCUCGGUAAGACUACUCUUGCCAGAAAAGUAUAUAAUCAUGUUGAUGUGAGACGCCAUUUUGAUUUCUUGGCUUGGUUUUCUAUCUCUCAACAAUGUAAGCCGAGAGAGGUUUUGCUUAGUGUCUUGAAGAAAGUUCUCUCUCCUUCUAACAAUGAUAGAGAGAAAAUUGAGAAAAUGGACGAGAUUGAGCUAACGAGAACGCUUUUUGAUGCUUUGAAAGAAAAGCGGUAUUUGGUGGUCCUCGAUGAUAUUUGGAGAAGCGAGGACUGGGAUAUUCUUAAACCUGCUUUUCCACGAGGAAGAAAGGGAAGCAAAAUAUUGUUCACAACACGCAACAGGAAUGUGGCUUCACGAGCCGAUUCUUGCAACACUCCCAUCGAGCUCUCAUUUCUUACGGAUGAUGAAAGUUGGAAUCUUUUGUGUAAGAAAGCAUUCCCACGGAGCAAAAUGGGUUCUCAAUGCUGCUCAGAAGAAUUUGUGAAGCUUGGAAAAGACAUGGUGAAAAAAUGUGGAGGCUUGCCUUUAGCAAUUGUUGUGUUGGGUUGCUUGCUGGCAACAAAACAGUCCGUGGCUCAAUGGGAGAUGGUUCAUAAAAACAUCCAUGGACACUUAAAUGAGCUCCAACACCAAGAUCGUCAAUAUGGUGCAGUGAACCGAAUUUUGGUUUCAAGCUACAAUGACUUGCCUUAUCCUUUAAAACCAUGCUUUUUGUAUCUUAGUCAUUAUCCAGAAGAUUGGGAGAUACCGAAAAAAGAACUCAUUCGUUUAUGGAUCGCUGAAGGUUUCAUUCCGGAAAACGAAGAAUUCUUGAUGGAGGAUUUAGGCGAAAAAUUCCUAGAAGAGCUUAUAGAUAGGAGCUUGGUUCAAGUUAGCACGCGAGACUAUACAGGAACAAAUGUGGAGACAUGUCGAGUGCAUGAUCUCUUGAGGGACUUUUGCAUGAAGAAAGCAAGAGAGGAGAAGUUCUUGGAAAUUAUUCAACAACCACUGCAUGAACUUGAAGUGACAUUGGCAGAAUCUAUGCUACGAAGAAUUUCUACUCAUCCUAGUGAAUCGAAAGUUUAUUUGAAGGGAAAGCAUCCAAAAUUACGCUCUUUGUUGUUUUCUCAUUCUGAGAAAUUGGUAGAAUUGUGCAUUUCAAAAUACAAAAGCUUCAAAUUUUUAAGGGUGUUGACUCUUGCAAAAAGGAGCGACUGCAAUCAACCGUGGCAUGUGUCGACUGAAAUUGGUAAUCUCCAACAUUUGAGAUACUUGAAGUUUUACUACAAUAACAAAGUGAUUUUGCCGCGAUCUAUUGGCAGGUUGAAGAAUCUGUACACUUUAUACAUCAAGUUUUGUGAUGACAUUGUAAUUCCAGAUGGUGUGUUUAAGUUAGAACGUUUAAGGCAUAUUGUAAUAAAAUCGGUUGGGAAAUUCCACGUAGAUGGAUUUCGUUGGCGGCAAGGGUUCACUUCAAAAAAUAUUGAAACUUUGAAGUUCAUAGUGGUGGAUGAGAAGGCGGCUGAAAAUAAUGCGGUGCUUAGGUGGACUAAUAUUCAGAGUUUAGGAAUAGAAUUUACCAGAGCAGAAUAUGUGAAGCCUACCCUAAUCUUGCUAGCCAAAUUGCAACGCCUUAGGUCAGUGUCCUUGUGUUUUUUUUAUUGCUCACACCUAGACUUAGAACCCCUUUCUCAAUAUUAUCACCUCUCCAAACUGAAAUUACUGGGUCCGAUAAAAGAUGAGCCACAUCCGAACGGUCAUGUUUUGAAAUUUCUUCCAUUAAAUAUUGUCAAAUUAACUUUGUUUGACUGUGGGCUGAGACAAGAUCCAAUGGCGGUAUUAGAAAAGCUAUGUCAUUUGAGGAUUCUCUUUUUGAAGGGAGCAUAUAUUGGGAGUAAAAUGGUGUGCUCUACAAAUGGAUUUCCUAAACUUGAUUAUCUUUUAAUUAUGUUAAUUAUGUUGGAGGAGUGGGAAAUAGAAGAAGGUGCAAUGCCAUGCCUUCGAGAAUUGACGUUGGCCAAUGUUGAGAGUUUAAGGAUGCUUCCAGAAGGAUUGAGAUACAUGACUACUCUCCAAAAAUUGAAUUUAAUAGGAAUAUCUUCGUUAUUGAAAGAAAGGAUUAAAGUGAUAGAUGGAAGAGAAGGAGAGGAAUUCUAUAAAGUGCGCCACAUUCCCUUCAUCCGACAUUUUUUGAUGCCAAAAUAAUAGGAGCCAACAUCACGUGAGGUAUUUAUUUCUAUAAAAUAAUAAUUUUUACAUUCUUUUUUCUUUUCUUUUUCACCCAUAGAGUUAGAGAUUAAUAUUAUAUUGAUAAAAUAAUACAAUAGAUGAAUAUAUCUUUAAUUACCAUAAAAAUUGUAAUUAAAAUAUAAAAAAAUAAGAAUUUCGAAUCAUUUUCUAGAAAAACUAAAAUUUUAAUAUCAUUUUAUUAUUUCAUAUUUUUAAUUAUUAUACAUAAGAGAUGAUGAUAUGUACAUACCAUUUUUCUUCUUGAUGCAGGUUAUCUAAUCAGCACUGGAAUGCACUUUCCCGAGAUAUCUAAUUUCAUUAAGUGUGUAUAUGUAUUUUUUGUAAGAAUUGGAUUGCUAUAUACCAUGAGCUUUGAAUGAAGUGAUUGUUUGCUAUAUAUCUAAGGCUCGUUUCCGGCCUCCCAAUUUGCUUAUUUUUAAAAAAAAUUAUCUUCUUAUUAAUUGGUUCUUCAUUUGCAUCUAUUUAAUUGAAAUUAAUCAAUUUAAACCGAAGAAAGAAAUUCUAAAUAACUCAUUAGAUGUUAAAUGGUUAAAUUCAUUAUUUAAAUAGUAAAAUAACCCAUUUAAAUUUACAACUCACUAUUUCAAUUAAAAAUUAGAUGAUACAAUGUUAAUCAAAACAUAUAACAUGUAUAUUUAUAUGACAUAACAAAAAUAUGUGUGUUUUCUUAUAACAAAAUAUAUAAAACAGAUUUAUAUUAACCUUGAGUUAUGUGGAAUGAUGAUUAAAUUUUUGUAACAGAUUUAUACUAAUCCCCACCCGAAUAUUUUAUAAAAAGAGUCGACAUUAAUCAUUUUAAAAUUUUUAACUGUUUAAUCAAUUAUAUUAAUAAUUCCAUAAAGUUUUUUUUAAUCAAAACUUUUUACUCAUUUACUAUAUACUAAGAACAAACCGAUAAUUAAAUAUCUUUGAGUCUAGAAUUAUUUCAACUUUUACCUUGAACCAAACGCGGUACUUUAACAUAUCUAGUAAUGCACUAAUUGUCAGGUUAAUCAAAUAUUUUGUGAACUAAACUCCCUUUUAAUCUAAAUUCACAAAAGUUAGUGUGCUUAAGAAAGUUGAGUUUCACAUAAUUUAUUCUUCCUAUAAACAAUAACAACAAAGUAGCGACUGAUCUUGAAGACUUGUUUUUAUAAGGUUACACAAAUCAAAAUGUAGUAAAUUCAGGGAACUCUAUGUACUAAGAUAACUGUGUUAUAUGCUUCAUUUUCGACCAACCAAGAAGCAUUAUAUAUACAUGUUUCUGAAACGUAAAAAUCUUAGCCUCACAUUUGUAAGCAGUUUUACUCUGAUAUAUAUGAGACAAGCCUACUGAUGAAACAGAAGUUACGGCAAAUCUUUUUUUUUUUAAUUUUUGUUAUUUUUUGUUCCAUCCCCAAUCCUUGAAUAUUUCGAUUAUAUGUUAUUUUUUUUAAAAAUAUUUCGAGUAAUUUAGUAUUGUAUAAUAAAUAACACAGUAAAAAUAAUAAAUAAUUGGAGUAAAUAACACCAAAGGUCACUAAAUUACUAUUUUGGUCAAUUAAUUUUAAAAAGUUAUAAUAUAAUCACUAAACUAUUCGAAAGUUUUCAUUUAAGUUAUAUAGCAUUUAUUGUUCACAUUGCCUGCAACCCCCUUACUCUUCUACAAUUUAGGGUUUUUUUAAUAAAACAACUUUAAAUAUCACGUAUCUACGAACUAAAAUCUAAACAGUUCUUCGAUACCGACCAUAUAUGUUCUUUUACUCGUUGAUGAGUAUUGAUCCAUUGUACUGUUCAUCGAAUUGUCGCUUGAACCUAGCUAGUCAAACUGCUUUAAAAAAAAAAAGAACUUAAUAGUUCAAUGACUUAAACAAAAAUUUUUGAAUAAUUUAAUAACUUAAAUAAAAACUAUUGAAUAGUUUAAUAACUAUCUUGUAAUUUUUUAAAGUUAAAUAAUUAAAAUAUAAAUUUAUUAAUAGUUUAGAGAAGUUGAGUAUAAUUUAUCCAAAUAAUUAUUUUUUUUCUUUUGGUCUUAUCCUAUCGAUUAUGAGCAACGGCUGUUGGGUGUUCAAAGUGGUCCUUUAAUUUUUGAUAGAAAAAUUUUAUUAAUCGGGCAAAAAAACAUUUUGGGUUUCAACGUUAAUAAGAGUGUAAUAUCCGCAUUGUGAAUUUUAUUUAUGAUUAAUUUAAGUAUUGUAUAAAAAAUAACACAGUAAAAAUAAUAAAUAAUUGGAGUAGUUAAAUAACACCAAAGGUCACUAAAUUACUAUUUCGGUCAAUUAAUUUCAUAAAGUUACAAUAUAGUCACUAAAUUAUUCGAAAGUUUUCAUUUAAGUAACUGGACUAUGAAAAUCUUUGUUAUAUGGUAUUUAUUGUUCACAUCGUCUGCACCAAUAAUAAACUCUUUGCCCUUACUCUUCUACAAUUUAGGGUUUUUUUAAUAAAAUAACUUUAAAUAUCAUGUAUCUACGAACUAAAAUCUAAACAGUUCUUCGAUACCGACCAUCAAAUUGACUUAGUUCAAUAACUAUCUUGUAACUUUUUGAAGUUAAAUAAUUAAAAUAUAAAUUUAUUAAUAGUUGAGUAUAAUUUAUCCAAAUAAUUAUCUUUAUUUUCUUUUGGUCUUAUCCAAUCAAUUAUGAAUUGCAAACAAGUUUUAUUCCCAAUGUGUGGAAAAUGUGUUGGUGAUUUUGGAAUUUUGUGUCCACCUAAAGCUUUUUCUACAAGCAAGUUUGUUUUUAUUUUAAAAAAUUGCUUCUUGAUUUGGAGUUUUGUUUUAGUCGAACGGCACACUGCUUUUGAAUAAUUAAAUUUAUUAUGGCUUUUCCGAGUGAGGCUAAAACCUGUCUUGUUUGAUUGAAUAGUUUGAUAAUUGGUGCUUGAUUGAUUAGGUAAUUGAUCUAUUAAGGCUUUUUUAUAAAAAAAUAAUUCAAAAAAUUUGAUUACUUAUUUUUAUUAAAUACAUAAAUGACAUAAAAUAACCACAUUUCAAAAAUGGAUGACGCAGGUAGUUUUAGAAAUUGGUAGCGUCAAAUUAUUUAGCUUUACCAGAAAAAAAGUUUUUUUAAGGUCCCCCAAUUUUUCAAAAAUAGUAAUAUUUUUUUAAUAUUUAUACAGGUAACGUCAUUCUACAUGGUUCUACCAAAAAAAUAAAUUUUUAUCUCGAUUGCUGACGUGGUAUGUUAGUGACGUCAAACUCUUUGACUCCACCAACUUUUACUGUAAGUUUUAGAUCAUUUACAUGUUUAAUAAAAAAUGGAUUAUUUUCAUAAAUAAUCAAAAAUUUUGAAUUAUUUUUAUAAAAAAAGCCUCUAUUUAUGAGUUCAAUUAUUUAUUUAAGCUCAAAUGUCCAUCUUAUAUAUAAAAAAAAACAAAACCGAAUAAAACGAUUUCUUUUUUCAACAAGAAUUUCCAUCAAGGAUACUAAAAGUAUAGAUCAUUUCAAGGUGGAACGAUGGUGGUGGAUGAAAGAGUGGAUUGCUAAAGGAGAAAGUGAUGGGGUUUUUGUUUUCUUCUAAAAAUUAGGAUGUAGUUGAUUUUUAGGGUUUGAUUCUUUUAGAUUGUCUCUUUGUUUCUUUUUAGGUCGGAUGAUUAAAGUCCCGUAGGAAUUGAGUAUGAUACAACUUUUGCAUUAAUUAAGAACUACUCCAUCGAUUAAUGGAUGUAGGAGAGUAGGAUGCGUGGUACUUAAGCUUCAACUUUCUCAAAUCUAACCCAACUAGAGGUGAUUAUGGGUCGGGCCGGGCCCAACCCAUAUUAAAUUUUACAACACCAAAAUAGCAUCAAAAACCUGCAAAAUAUAAUCAACAAACUAGAAUUAGAGGUAUACUUAAUUAAAAAUAAAAAAUAUAUAUUUAAUAUAUAAUUCGAGCCCAGGCCAAAAUAGUUUUACCUGAGGCCCGACUCGUUUUCUAAACGGGCCUCUUUUUUUUGCCCAAACUCAUAUUUCGGGCCUAUAUUUUUACCCGAACCCUCAUAUUUUUCAGGCAGACCUUCGGGCCGGGCUGGGUAGCCCAACCCAUGAUCACCUCUAAACCCAACCCUGUAAUAGCCCGAUUUUGGGUCUAGUCGGAACAUUGGUUUUUGGACCACAAAUUCGACGAGGAAAAAAACUGUAAUGGCCUGAAUUUUUAGAGGUGUCGGAACGAUUAUUCGAGAUCACUAAAUUCGAAAAAUGAGUAGAAAAUAUUAUUAAUUUAGUGAGUAUAAGUUAAAUGUGAAGUUAGGAAAUUUUUUGAAAUAGUGAAUAGUGAAGAGUGGUCGGAACUGUCAGACAGCGAAACAAGGGAAACUUUAAAGAAUAAACUGUACUAUUUGGCUAAACCAAAAAUUUCGAAAAUUUUAUGGCAAGAAGAUAUGUGAGUCUAGUUUUAGGGAAAAUUAACAGAUCUUAAUUUGGAGCUCUGUAGCUCCGGAUAAAAAUAAUUUAGUGACUCUGACUCGAAUAAACAGCUUUGAAUAUACAUGUGAGUGAAUAGUGAAAUUAUAGUUAAUGUUGUUUAAGUGUGUUAUACACAUUAACGAUGUGGAAUGAAGAGGAGGAGGAGAAUAAUUGGGAAAUAUAUGAAUGAUUUGUGUAUAAUUGGUCAUAUGCUUGAUUAUAAUUGAUAAACGAUAAAAUAGAAACAUGAUGCGGUCGUUGAAAGCACCAAAAAUAUCCUAUCCCUAAUAAAUAAUGAAAAAUAAUAGUAAAAGGGAAGUAGGGUCAAAUCCUCAGGGACUGGAUUUGCACAAUAUCUUGUUCUGUGGAAUCCCAUGCAGAGUCUUGCCCAAGACAACCUGCGUUCCUGAAAAAAAAUAAAAACAAAAAAAUAACAGAAUUAAAUGUUUGGAUUUGAAAAUGAAAAAUAAAAUAAAAAAAAUUUUAAGAAUAUUGAAUCGAAAAUUAGAGAAAUUAAAAAUAGAGUUGAGAGAAAGGAAAUUCUUAUGGGAGAUUCCAGCCUCCAGUUGUCUCGUUCCGCCUUGGGUUCAAUCCUAAGCUUUUAGAUGAUCCUUCCCAAACCGAAUAAACCAGUUAUAGUGGAAGAGGACGCCUACGACCACCAGCUCCAAUGAUUUAGACUUAUGAUGUGGUAGAACCUGACUUUAGCCAACAAUCGCUUCUAUGGGAUCGUCUUAUGCUAGAUCAAUGCUUCUCAAUGGUGAAUCCCAGGCCAUUUUGUCUCUUGGGCUCACCAACCUCUGACGCAGUAAGCUAACGAACCGACUGUGCAACCUUCCCAAAACAUACAAAGCGGCCGCCUUUGCAUACAUUGAAAAGCUUACUUCUUAAGAGACAUGGACAGAAGCGUCAGCCCCGUAGUGCGAAGAAACGAUGAAUACUCGUUGAAAAGGCUAAGUACGGAUUCUAAGCCUCAAAAACCUUUUUGGGGAUUUUCGACAACCUUAGGCUAGAUGGGUUUAGUGGCUCAUGGUUGGGGUAGAAAAGAAAAUAAAUAAAAUAAAAUAAAAAUAGAAAUUUUAUUGAAAGGAAAUAUGAGAAGAACAAAAGCCCAGACUUUUGGGGAGAGAGUGUUUACAGAAAAAGAUGGGAUCCCCUUUUGAGUUACUUCACCCCCUAUUUAUAGUGUUAGGGGAGAUAGUCUAAUCCUACUUAAAUUCCUAAAAGAUAAAUACAUUUAAUUGAAGAUAAAUAAAGAUAAAAUAAAAUCCUAAAAAUAAUCCUUAAUAAUUAUCUCAAUAUUAAUUAUCCUAAUAUAAUUAAAAUAGAGUUUAAUAGAAUAAAAUCUCUUCUUUUUGCAUUUCAACCCUUGUGUCCUCCAUGCUUGCACUUUUGGCACCAACUUUUCAUUGCAUUGCACAUUGGCCCAUUUUAUCUCUAAAUUCACGCUUUUGGCCCUUAAUUUUGUUUUUGCCUCAAAUUUAGUCCGUAUGAGAUAAAAGAUCAUAAAUAGCUCAAAUUAGCAGGAUCAUACUCAGAAUAAAUACAUAAUUAAUACAUAAAAAUAUGUUAUUCUAGAGUGUUAUCAAAAUGAUGCUUAUAUUUGUGCAUUAUUGGACACGGUUUAAGCUCAUGUGUGAAAAUAAAGUUUCAUAGUAUGUGUGAAAGUAUAUUUGGUAUAUGAUUUGGCAUGAAGUAAUGUCAUGAAUGAUUUAUGAAUUAACACAUGUUGGUAAGUGUGGUACAUUAAUAAAUGUUGUGCUCAUCCAUGCUUAUAAUGCUUAUGCUAUAUGUGUAUUUGGAUAACAUAUUUGGUAUACAUGCUUAGGCUUUGGCCAAGUAGUGGUUGAAUUAUGCCACGUUAAAUUUAUAAGUUAUGCAUUGAAAUGAUAAGUGCCUAAUUGGAAAUAUGCUUGUGAUCAUGAAAAGGAUGGUAAGGUUUAAAUUAUGUAAUCUCUAGUGAAAUGGUUUAUCAUGCAGUUAGUUCCAAAAGGAGUUAUGUUUAAAUACACUAGCUUGCGACUUUGGUUGAAUGACAUGUUUAUAUCUUGUGUGAUGUGCAUAGGAAACGAGUGUGGAAAGGUAAUAAAAUAGUAAGUUCAUAUGGCGGAAAUUUAAUGAUUAAAUGUUAAUUUCGUGAAUUAUAUUUGAUAUGUGGAUUAAUAUUGAAUGUGGAAGGAAAAUUGUUCUUGAAUUAUUCGAGUGAUAAAGUGUUUAAAAUAAAGUGUUUAAGUGUUAAGUGUAAAUUCCCAGUUGAAUAUAGGAAUAGAAGUGGAUACAAGUGACAUGUGACUAGAUACCAGUGUUGCAGUGUUACAGUGAAUCCCGGGUGCUGGGUGAUCUAGCAUGUGUUGCAGACACCUGAUAGCUUGUGUGAGCAGGCCCGUGGACUUUUCCAGUGUUAUUGAUCAGUGGUAGCUACGGCUACAUAUCAGUGGUAGCUUCGGCUAUAUUUCAAUGGUAGCUACGGCUAUAUAUCAGUGGUAGCUACGGAUACAUAUCAGUGGUAGCUUCGGCUACAUUUCAGUGAUAGCUACGACUACAUAUUAGUGGUAGCUUCAACUACAUUUCAGUGGUAGCAACUGCUACGUAUCAGUGGUAGCUUCAGCUACAUAUCAGUGUGGCACUUAUGUGCUAAUUCUUUACGUAUCCGUGUAUAUUUCGAGUGUUCAACGGGAUUAAUAAUGAGUUAAAUGGUAAAUGCAUAUUAGUAUUGAACUUAAUGAUAUUGAAUUGUACGUGAAUUAAACGGAAAUUGUUAGUGAUAUGAUUUGAAUUGUGAGCAUGAGAAAUUGUGAUUUGAAUGAAACGGGAAUGAUGCAUUGAAUUGUUUAAGUAUGUACUGGGUCUCGUAGGCCCUAUUUAUUAUGAAUAUAAUAUUUUGGGAUAUGAUCUGAAGAAUUAUAAAAGCAUGUUAAUAAAUUUGAAAAUUUUAAUUUAGAUGGAAUUUUAUAACUCGGUUAAAUACGUUUACAAGUGUAUGUGUUCUGGUAAUGCCUCGUACCCUACUUCGGUGUUGGAUACGGGUAAGGGGUGUUACAAACUCACUUUAGACUUUUGUAUAAAUUUUAUUUAAACAUAAAAAAUAUUGUAUAAAUUUCAAUUUUAAUAAAAAAUAUUAUUAGAAAUAUUAAAUAUUAAAUUAAGAAUAAUAUAUAUUGCUUUUUAGUUGGAAGAAACUAUUUUAUAAUUGUUAUGAAUUUUUCAUUAUUAAAUCAACAUCUAUUGAUAUCAAAAUAAAUUUGAUUUACUCUAUAUUUUAUUUAUAAACAUUACUAUUAAUCAAUAAAACUAUGUUGGUUAUUAUAGAAAAAUAAGAAUAUGUUUGUGCUUUCCAAUAGUUAUAGCUCUGUUCAGGAUGUGGUAGAUACAAGUAUCAGUUGGACGAGAAGUUAUUCGCCACCCUCAAUGGCUAUGUUCCAUUCGAAUUCUAUGGCUUUUGAUUCAAAAUGGUUAGCUCCGAAAAGUGGUUGGGUUAAGCUUAAUACAGAUUGUACAAUUUUGUCUAGAGCUCACACGGUUGUAAUUGGAAGAGUCAUUAAAAAUGCUAAUAGUAAUUAGUUAUGUGAUUAGUCGAUGACAUUAGGAAAUAUGAAGUGUUUAAAAUUUAAGCAAGAUCGAUAUUAGAAGGGCUUUGACUAACUUAGGACAAUAAUAAUAAUAAUAAUAAUAAGUUCAGCUAUUUGCUGUCCAAAGAACAGUAAUUACCAACCUCACCCCCAAAAACAGCUCUUCAAAACUUCUGACAAAGACAAAUACUUCUCCACUAAUACAUAAAAUAUUCUACUAAUACUUGCAGUUCAGUUUGUGGAAUCUUUUCUGGACCAGCAGGAGAAAUGGAAGAGGCUAUUGUGUCCUUAGCUGUUGAAAGAAUUUCAGAUUUACUCAUCCAUGAAGCUGUUUUCCUCAAAGAUGUGAAAGAUCAAGUUGAGAGCCUAAACGCUGAACUGAAGCGAAUGCAGUGUUUCUUGAAGGACGCGGAUCGCAAUCUUGAACAAGAUGCGCGUUUCCAGAAUCGGGUGUCGGAAAUCAGAAAUCUUGCUUAUGAUGCUGAAGAUGUCAUCGACUCUUUUAUUCUUAAAGCAGCAUAUCAACGAGGUUUUCAUGGGAUUGUCAAGAGAUUCACCUCCAUUUUCACCAAACCUUAUCAUCUGCACAAAAUCGGGGUGCAGGUCAAAGCAAUCAAGACCAAGCUCCAAAACAUUUCCGAGAAUCUUCCAGCUUUUGAAAUACCCGAUGAUGGAGAAGGCUCUAGCUCAAUUUUCAAGGUGCAGCAACAGUUUAGAAGGACAUACUCACAUGUCGAGGAAGAGGACGUUGUUAGCUUGGAAGUUAGCACGAAGGAUGUCAUGACCAUGUUGAUGUUUGAAGAAGAUAGACCCCACGCCGUGGUUUCCAUAGUCGGCAUGGGGGGCCUCGGUAAGACUACUCUUGCCAGAAAAGUAUAUAAUCAUGUUGAUGUGAGACGCCAUUUUGAUUUCUUGGCUUGGUUUUCUAUCUCUCAACAAUGUAAGCCGAGAGAAGUUUUGCUUAGUGUCUUGAUGAAAGUUCUCUCUCCUUCUAACGAUGAAAGAGAGAAAAUUGAGAAAAUGGACGAGAUUGAGCUGAGGAGAACGCUUUUUGAUGCUUUGAAAGAAAAGCGGUAUUUGGUGGUCCUCGAUGAUAUUUGGAGAAGCGAGGACUGGGAUAUUCUUAAACCUGCUUUUCCACGAGGAAGAAAGGGAAGCAAAAUAUUGUUCACAACACGAAUAAAAAAUGUGGCUUCACGUGCCGAUCCAUGGAGCACUCCCGUGGAGCUCUCACUUCUUACAGAUGAUGAAAGUUGGAAUCUUUUGUGUAGAAAAGCAUUCCCACGGAGCAAAAUGGGUUCUCAAUGCUGCUCAGAAGAAUUUGUGAAGCUUGGAAAAGAGAUGGUGAAAAAAUGUGGAGGCUUGCCUUUAGCAAUUGUUGUGUUGGGUUGCUUGCUGGCAACAAAACAGUCAGUGGCUCAAUGGGAGAUGGUUCAUAAAAACAUCCAUGGACACUUAAAUGAGCUCCCACACCAAGAUCGCCAAUAUGGUGCAGUGAACAGAAUUUUGGUUUUAAGCUACAAUGACUUGCCUUAUCCUUUAAAACCAUGCUUUUUGUAUCUUAGUCAUUAUCCAGAAGAUUGGGAGAUACCGAAAAAAGAACUCAUUCGUUUAUGGAUCGCUGAAGGUUUCAUUCCGGAAAACGAAGAAUUCUUGAUGGAGGAUUUAGGCCAAAAAUUCCUAGAAGAGCUUAUAGAUAGGAGCUUGGUUCAAGUUAGCAGGCAAGACUCUACAGGAACAAAUGUGGAGACAUGUCGAGUGCAUGAUCUCUUGAGGGACUUGUGCACGAAGAAAGCAAGAGAGGAGAAGUUCUUGGAAAUUAUUCAACAACCACUGCAUGAACUUGAAGUGACAUUGGCAGAAUCUAUGCUACGAAGAAUUUCUAUUCAUCCUAGUAAAUCGAAAGUUUAUUUGAAGGGAGAGCAUCCAAAAUUACGCUCUUUGUUGUUUUCUCAGAAUGAGGAAUUCGUAGAAUUAUGCAUUUCAAAAUACAAAAGCUUCAAAUUUUUAAGGGUGUUGACUCUUGCAAAAAGGGGCAACUACAAUAAGUGGUGGCAUGUGUCGACUGAAAUUGGUAAUCUCCAACAUUUGAGAUACUUGAAGUUACACUGCAAAAGCAAAAUUAUUUUGCCGCGGUCUAUUGGCAGGUUGAAGAAUCUGUACAGUUUAUACAUCAAGUGUUUUUGUGACAUUGUAAUUCCUGAUGGUGUGUUUAAGUUAGAACGUUUAAGGCAUAUUGUAAUAAAAUUGGGUGUACAUGGAUUUCGUUGGCGGCAAGGGUUCACUUCAAAAAAUAUUGAAACUUUGAAGUUCAUAGUGGUGGAUAAGAAGGCGGCUGAAAAUAAUGCGGUGCUUAGGUGGACUAAUAUUCAGAGUUUAGGAAUAGCAUUUACCAGAGCAGAAUAUGUGAAGCCUACCCUAAUCUUGCUAGCCAAAUUGCAACGCCUUAGGUCAGUGUCCUUAAGUUUUUUUGAUGGCUCACACCUAGACUUGGAACCCCUUUCUCAAUAUGAUCACCUCUCCAAACUGAAAUUACUGGGUCGGAUAGAAGAUGAGCCACAUCCGAACGGUCAGGUUUUGAAAUUUCUUCCAGCAAAUAUUGUCAAAUUAACUUUGGUUGACUGUGAGCUGAGCCAAGAUCCAAUGGCGGUAUUAGAAAAGCUAUGCCAUUUGAGGAUUCUCUAUUUGCAGGAAGCAUAUAUUGGGAGUGAAAUGGUGUGCUCUGCAAAUGGAUUUCCUAAACUUGAUUAUCUUCAAAUGUCUUGCUUACAUGAGUUGGAGGAAUGGGAAAUAGAAGAAGGUGCAAUGCCAUGCCUUCGAGAAUUGAAGUUGGUAUAUGUUGAGAGUUUAAGGAUGCUUCCAGAAGGCUUGAGGUACAUUACUACUCUCCAAGAAUUGAAUUUAAGAGGACUGCCUUCGUCAUUGGAAGAAAGGAUUGAAGUGAUAGAUGGAAGAGAAGGAGAGGAAUUCUAUAAAGUGCGCCACAUUCCCUCCAUCCACAUUAUUAAUUCGAUCCCAAAAUAAUAGGAGCCAACAUCACGUGAGGUAUUUAUUUCUAUAAAAUAAUAAUUUUUACAUUCUUUUUCUUUUCUUUUUCACCCAUAGAGUUAGAGAUUGAUAUAAUAUUGAUAAAAUAACAGAAUAGAAGAAUAUAUCUUUAAUUACCAAAAAAAUUAUAAUUAAAAUAUAAAAAAUAAUAAUUUUGAAUAUUUUUCUAGAAAAACUAAAUUUUUAAUAUCAUUUUAUUAUUUCAUAUUUUUAAUACAUAAGAGAUGAUAAUAUAUCCAUACCAUUUUUUUUCUUGAUGUAAGUUUACCUGGAAUACACUUUGCCGAGAUAUCUAAUUUCAUUAAGUGUGUGUAUGUAUUUUUUAUAAGAAUUAGAUUACUAUAUAGUAUGAGCUUUGAAUGAAGUGAUUGUUUGCUAUAUAUCUAAGGCUCGUUUCUCGCAGCUAAUAAUUCCUUCAAUUUUGUAUUUUGCACUGAAAGCUUGAUCACCUUACCAACUAAAUUUUUAAACUCAAUAACAUCUACAGAUGUCAAUUCUUUAGCAUAUGAAGCUUCUUCAGUCGGCUUUUGAUUUUGGAAACAUAACCUACUAUUCUCUUCUAAAAGUUACACAUUACUCUUGAUCUCCUGAGAUAAGUUCUUUUUUCGUGUCUCAUCAGCAUGUUCUUCAGAUAUUUCAUGUGCAAAAGAUGAUAGUUUAUCAGAGAGAGAUGUCAACUGCUGCUCCAAGAGAGUUACUGUUACAGGCCCAUUUUAACCCUUAGCCCAUUUAAAUUUUAAACCAAAACAAAAAAGGCCGGCCCAAUCUUCCAGCCCAAUCAGACUAGGGUUUCAGAAACUGAAACCCUAGUGCCCCACCCACUUGCGCCGUUGCCCCACUAGCACCAUCGCCGCAGCCUUUUGUCGCCCACAUGCAUGCUGCCACCGCCCUUUACAGCUCGCCUCUGCCAGCCACCGCAUCUCCACUUGCACCAAUGAGUACCUGCAAGCAAAAAGAAAAGGGAAAAGGAUAGCACAAGUGGUGUAUAAAAGCCGAACUCGGCUAUCAUUUUCGAGGGGGUUUUUUUUUACUGUAAUCGGAGGGGAAGGCUUUUUUUUUCUUUCUAACAUUUUCAUAGAUAAAGCAAAAAAAAAAAAAAAAAGAUUCAAGAAAGAAAAAAAUAAAGAAACAGAUCUAAAAAAAAAUCAAACACUCAAGGUGACUUUUUUUUUACGCAUUAGCCUUUUUAUUUCUUUCUUUAUCUGUGCAAAAGCAUAAAAAAUACAAAAAAAUUAAAUUUUUUACCGUUUUGAAUACACGGUGGCCGGAGCGACGCCGGUUUUGCCUUAAGGACUCCUACCCGCGCGUCGACCCGACCCGCAACCCAGGGUCCGCGUGUUUUUGUACGGGUGGGUUAUUUACAAUCGUGGCCCUUCCACAUUUAUGCUCUUUUUAAUUUGCUCCCUUUUCUCUUAUUUUCAUUUUCUUUUAAUUCUGCCCUGUAAUUUUGUUUGGAUUCCAAUCGGGUCCCUAACCCACUAACGCACUGAAAGGGACACAUGUCCCAAUAAUUGGAAUAUUUUCCAUUUUAGCCCUUUUCCUUUCAGCGCGCGUCGCGUUUUGGUCCUUUUUUAUUUUCAAAUUCGUCCAGUAUUUUUAUUUUAUUUCGAUUUAGUCCUUUUUUAGUAGUUUUAUUAUGUUGCUCAUUAUUAUUAUUAUUAUUAUUAUUAUUAUUAUUAUUAUUAUUACUAUUAUUAUUAUUGUCCUUGCUAUUAUUAUUGGUAUUAUUACUAAUAUAUUUAUUACUAUCAUUAUAUUUAUACUCAUAUUUACUUAUAUAAAUAUUAGAUAUAUGUGACAUAUUAUAUUAUUAUUAUAUAAUUGCUUACAUAUAUAUAUAUAUAUUAAUACAUACAUAAAUACUCAUUUUGUAUAUAUAUAUAUAUUUAUAUAUGUAUAUUUAUAUUUUUCUCACGAAUAUGUAUAUUCUUACUUACAUAUAUAUUUUAUAUAAUAAUUUUAAAAUAUGUACAUAUGUUUUUAUAAUUUCAAAGCACAUAUAUAUACACACGUGAAUACAUUUACAUAAUAUAUUUAUAUGCACAUAGUUCCUCUUUUUUAUAAAAAGUAUACAUAUAUAUAUACAUACUGUUAUAUACACAUGUUUUAUAUAUUUUAAUAAUUUUAUGGAUAUACUCAUAUAUAUAUCUUUUUAUAUUUUUAUAGUUUUAUAUUUUUUUGUUUUUUUAUUUACAUUUUCAUUAUUUGGAAUAAAUGUUUUAAUUUUAUUGCUUAUGCUUGCGAUUGUGUGUUAUAUUAAUUUGUCUUUAUAUUUAUUUUACUUCGUAACCUUUGCCUGUAUUAUUUUGCUUACAUCAUCAUCAUUCCAUUACACCCAUUUUAUUUAGAUUAAAAAAUGGAAUUUUAAAAAUAUGAGUAAUAUUCGGCAUUUUAGAUCUCCGAGAGAAUCAAGCCCUAACGUGUUGGGUUCUGAUUUUCUUCGUUGAAUUUUAAAAAAAAUCGAGAUUACUCUUUUAAAAAAAAUGAUAAAAAGCUUGUUAUCAAGAAUUCAAUACGUUGUGUCCUAACGCAUUGGAUGUGACCCGUUGUUUUCUCGAGACAAGGAUUUUUCGAAAUAAGGGUAAUAUUCAAAUGUUUAAUAUUUUGAGAAAUUGUGCCCUAACGUAUUGGGUUGCGAUUUCUUCAUUUGAUUUAAACAAUUGAAUAUUCUUUUAAACUUUAUUACACGAAUCUUUUCAAACUCAAGUUUUAAACGAUAUCGAGAAUUUAAAAAGGAUCGUGUCCUAAUUUACUGGAUAUGAUUCUCUUUCUCGGAUAACGUGAAAUAUGCCCAUUUUUCCUGAAAUUUUUUUAUCGUUUUAAUGCAAUGAUCGUAUUUUUAAAAUUCUUCAAGGUUCCUAAUUUUCGACAUUAAGACAUUAAGCAAUCAACUAGGUACCAAUUUUGGGCGUAUCGAGGGUGCUAAUCCUUCCUCGUGCGUAACUGACUCCCGAACCUAUUUUUCUGAAUUUCGUAGACCAAAAUCGUUGUUUUAAUAAAAAUUAAAUUGUUUAUUAAAAACAACCACUUUUCGAGGUGACCCGAUCACACCUCAUCAAAAAAAGAUUGGUGGCGACUCCCAUUUUCGUUUUCAUUUUCUAAAACCCAAGUAGACCCCGUUUUUUCAUCAUCCAAAAAAUGGCGUCAACAGUUACCUUUGCAUGCAACUCCUUAUUCUCAAAACACUUGAUUUGCAGUUGUUCUUGCACUAUACGAUUAUCUGUCGAUUUUAUCUCAAGCUCAAAACUUUUUUCAUUACAUUGUGCCAUCAAUUUCGUAAUUGUUUGUCGCAUUGAUGUCAUUCCUUCCUGACACUUGGAUGCCACUUGCUCCUCCUCAAAUGGAUUCAAUGAGAAACUCUUCUUCUGCAUCUUGAUUCUAAACAAUCCAUUGCCACUAGAGUCAAGGAUCAGACACAUUCCCUCUUCAAACAUCACCUUGAAUUUCUUCUCUACCAAUUGCCCCACACUCAACAAAUUUUCAUCAAUCUCAUGUACAAAUAGAACAUCUGAAAUCAACUUAGUUCCAGCACAGCUGUCUAUUGGUAUUGUGCCUCUUCCCUUCACUUCUAGUUAUUCUCCAUUUCAUAUCCUUACUUUUGACUUCAAUAACAUGUCAAGGUCUUUAAACAACUUCUCAUCACAAGUCAUGUGAUUGGUGCAACCACUAUCAACUAACCAAUUUUCACAUGGAGUACUUGAUGAGAAGCAAGAGACAACAAAUAGUUGUUCCUCUUUUUCUUUAACUGUAGCAUGUGCUCCACUUUGCUGAUAAUUUUUUGAUUCAUUACAGAACCUCUCAAUGUGCCCCAUCGAGUUACACUUUCUGCACUUUACAUCUAGCCCUCUCCAACACCUGAAAUGAGCUCCAACACCUGAAAUGAGGAUGGUUAUGUUUUCCACAAAACUUACAUGGAGAAUAUUUGUGAAAAUUUCCAAUACCAUUACCUUUUGCAGCAGUUUCUGAACCACUACCGCCACCACUCUUCUUUCUAUUCCACUUUUGGUCCUUUCUAUUCCACUUUUGGUCCUUUCUUCUUUCACUCUAUUGCAUCUUAGCCUUUAAAGCUCCUUCUAUGCUUCCUUCCUGCCUCAUUAGUCUCCUUUGCUCUUGUGCCUAUGAAGCACUGAUCAACUCCACUACUCCCAAUUGAGUCAAGUCCUUAGUGUUCUCAAAAGAGGCAAUAGUUGCUUCAUAUUUCUUAGGCACAGAGACAAGUAUCUUCUGCACCAGUCUAGAAUCAGAGAGAUCAGUCCCAAGAACUCGUACCUUGCUAGCAAUAUCCAUCAGCUUGUCUGGGUAUUCUUUGAUUGACUCAGACUCCUUCAUUUGUAGCCUCUCGAUUUCUCUGAUCAAGUUCAACACCUUCAUGCUCUUGAUCCUCUUAGAUUUUCUCUGAUCAAGUUCAAAACCUCACAAGUGUAUCUCUCAAAUUUUCUCUCAAAACUCUCACAAAACUUUUCUCACAAGUCCCUCAAGAAAAAUGGCUCUCGAUGCCACUGUUGGUUUAGCAAAGACUUAAUUAAAGUAUAGAACAAAAGAUGAAAUGAAAAGAUGAUUUAAUUCAUUACCAAUGCAGCCCUUAUAUACAAGUCUCAAGUAACAACCUCAACAAAAAUUCAAAUUGCUACUCAUACUAGCAAGCUAACAACUCCUACUCCUAUUAGCAAGCUAACAAAUCUCCCUAGUACUUAGUCUUACUUUUUUAAAAAUAGUUGCAGCCUGAGAUACUAACGUGCUUGCUAAAUUUGACUUCAGUAACCAUGUAAACCAAUCAAGGCCUGACAUUAAUAAAGAAGAAACUUGUCUCUUUUGUUCAUAAGUUACUCAAUUUACUACAUGAUUUUAUAAUCUGCAAUGAGUGUUAUUCAAAAUAUCUUUUAAGUCAGCUGCCAAUCAACAACACACAUCCCAUUUGGUAACUUCUAUUUCGUGAUGUAUGCAUUCGCAGCUAAAAACCUUACGUAUGAAUAGUGCAAGUGAGCUCGAGUUUAAAUACAAACGAGUUUAAUUAAACUUAAGUUCAAAUAGCUUGAUUAUAUUUCAAGUCAAACUUAAAUUUAAAGAUUAAUGUACAAUCAAGUUUGAACUUAGUAUUGAGCCCCUUCAAACUUGAACUUACUAUUAUUCAAGCUCGGCUCUCGAUUACCCCGAAUUUAGUUUGGUUGCUAGACUACUAGUGCUCUCUAUAAAAUCUAAUCAUCUUCAUCCUCACUUUUACCACUCAGAAACAAUGAAGAAUACCCCUUUCCUUCUGUUUUCAUUUCUCCUCCCUUUUUGUUGAAGUGCAUGCAGUCUAUUUGCAUGUUGCAGCUCUUGUGCAUGCUACAUUAAGAAGUUUUCAGUUGUAGUUGCAAUGUAAUUUUGUCUGUUUGAAAAUGAAUAAGCUUGAUGACAGUUUUAGUUGCACCGCUAGUUCUAGUAAAUUCAUGGUGUACUUCCUAGUCCAGUAAACCAGCUUUCUGCAUUCUCAACCAAUCUCCCCACGGCAACUCUACUACCAAGACCCCACUAGACUUAGUCAAUGCUGCCGUCGACAAGUGCCAUUCUCGUGCCUCGUCAAUGAAUAUGUCGCCGAAUUUUCCGGUGGAUCAGAGUGUACAAAAUUACUUGCUUCAAUGCAUGAUGCUGAUUUCAUUACGGUUUUCUAUCACAGUUUUAGAACAUUGUUUUUUUUUUUAUGCUUAAUAAAAUGGACUUUCGCUGAGAAAAUAAAAGAAAACAUUGAAACAAUGCUAUGGAAUUUUGAAUAGUUUAAUUAAUUAAUACAUCAUUUUUGUCUUAAAUGUUUAAAUUUACCAAAAAUAAAUUUUUAAAUACUUUAAUUAAUAAAAUAUUAAUUAAAAGAAUUUAAUAUUAGCAUCUAAGUUGUCUUUUUUUAUGCAUGAUGCUUCAACCUAUGAGCUAAGUGGGCUCAAAUGAUAAAGAAAUUUUGUACUCAUUGGAAUUCAACAAAUUAUUACCGUAUUAUCUAUUAGGGAUAAAUAUCACAAUUAUACAUAAAUUUUAUUUAAUAUAUAAUUGUUAAUAAAUUUUAAUUUGAUGCAAUUAUACACGUGAAACUCUAAUUGUAAUUCAAAUGUAUACUUGAAACUUUAAUUUUGUUUUAAUCUUAUACAUUUAAAAAAAAUAUAUCAAUUUAUUUUUAUAUUGGAUAGAUAUAAUUAUUUAUAUAUGCAAUUUAUAAAUAAAAAAUGAUGUUAUAUCAAUAAUUAUUUUAAUACUUAACAAGAAUUGGAUCAAAUCAAAAUUUUAUGUAUAUAAUUACACAUUAACCCAUAGUUCAUGUAUAGUUUUAGUAUUUAUCCCUAUCUAUUAACUAUCUAGUAGUUAUUAAUAAUUUUAUUAAUUAUUCAUAAUUACUAUGAAUUAUAGACUCGAAUUUAGAAAAACUAAAAUUAUUUCUAAUUUUAAUGCUAUACUUAAUAAGGUUGAAACCAUUAGAUCUAAAUUUAGAACUUUUUUUAGUGUCACAGUCUUUCCAAACUAAAGUUUACGGGGAAUAUUGAUAAAUUGAUGAAUUAAAGUAUUCGAAUGGUUAACAAAAUACAAAUUUUAAAAAAUGGGUGUAAUAGAAUAGAAUAGAAUUUUAUUUUUAAUUUAAUUUAAAGUUAUUUAUAAUUAUAAUAUCAUAUCUUUGUAAGAUAUUUGAAGAGGUAUGAGGGAUGCUUCAGUUUCAGAUUAGUAAAGCUUUGGGAAUUCAUUUGGGGUUAUUUCAUUGCUAAGCAAGGAAUCAAGGAGUAGUGAAAGUUAGAAAAAGAAUCCCCAUAUUCUUAAGCAAAUUAGAAUUUAAUUAAAGAGGAAAGAAGAAUCUACUUUUGCUUUCUUCUUGUUCAAUUUUAAUUAUCAUUUACUUUUGAUACAACAAUAACAAAAAAAAAGGGAAUCAGAAAAUACACACAGACUGAUUAUCAAUCCGUUGGACAUCCACACCAAAAAAAAAAAAGAAAUUCAGACUCUUUUUUUUCAUCAACUAGAGAAAUGGCAGAGGCUAUUGUGUCCUUGGCUGUUGAAAGAAUUUCAGAAUUACUCAUCCGUGAAGCAGUUUUCCUCAAAGAUGUCAAGGAAGAAGUUGAGAGCCUAAACACUGAACUUAAGAGAAUGCAGUGUUUCUUGGAGGACGUUAAUGGGAAGGCGGAACAAGAUGCGCGUCUCCGUAAUCGGGUAUCCGAAAUCAGAGAUCUUGCUUACGAUGCUGAAGAUGUUAUUGUUGGAACAUUGGCAGCAUACAACAAUUAAAUUUGCAAGCAGAGCAAAGAGAAAUCGAAGCAGAAAAGAAAACAAGCAAAGCAGCAAAAUGAAAUUUGAAUGCACAGCAGAAAUUGUAACUGAACAUUGCCCAUUUUCAUUCAAAAUUUGAAAUAUAAAGGAGUUACAAUACAAUUUGACAGUUACCUAAUGUGUUUAAUUGCCCCAACUAAUAUAAACCUAAACACUAGCUAAAAUAUAGCUGACCAAUCAGCCAUUACAUCAAAAGAUCUUAUCACUAGCUUAAUUUUAAUAACAUUGUGAGUAAACUAAAGUUGAACCAAAUCAAAUUACAACAGAACAAAAGAACAAAGUUGGUUGCUUCAUUCGGUCCAAAAUUCAACCUUGCGCACCAAGCAAAAUCAGCUGAACUCGAUAACUGCUGCUGGUCUUGACAGUAGGUGGCUGCUGGUUUUGUGUUGUAAUGCAGUCCAACUUUCAACACUCCUCCUUGGACUGUAUGCAACACAUAUCAAUUGCACUUCUCAAUGCUUCAAAUCGUGCAGUUCUUAAAGGCUUGGUUAGCAUGUCAGCCAGUUGUGCACCUGAGCUACAAUGAACAAGGCUGAUUUCUCUUGUUUGUUCAGCCUCUCGAACAAAAUUCAACUUGAUUUUAAAAUGCUUAGUUUUACCAUGGAACACAGGGUUCUUGGCUAUAGCAACUGCUGACUGGUUGUCCACCCAAAUUUCAGUUGCUUCAGCUUGUGUUUCAUUAAGGUCUUGAAGCAAUUUCAUGAGCCAAAUGGCCUGAUUGACUGCUACUGCUGAGAUGUACUCUGCUUCAGCUGUGGACUGAGCAACAGUCUAUUGCUUCUUUGAACUCCAGCAAAACAUGCCCGAUCCAAGUGUGAAGAAGUAUCCAGAGGUACUCUUCAUGUCAUCAAGGGAUCCUGCCCAGUCACUGUCUAAAAAACCUUCAAGUUUCAAUUCCUUUCCACUUUUAAACAUUACACCAAAGUUGGCAGUGCCUUUGAUGUAUCUAAGAACCCUCUUUGCUGCCUUCAAAUGAGCUUCAUUGCAGCAGUGCAUGAACCUCGAUAGCAAAUUGACACCAAACAUGAUAUCUGGCCUAGUUGCUGUUAGAUACAGUAGGCAACCUACUAGGAUUCGAUAAUGUCUCUCAUCAACCCUUUGCUGAUCACCACUUUUUGUCAGCUUUUCUCUUUGAGCCACUGGUGUCUUACUGUUUUACAGUUUUGCAUGUAGAAUUUACCAAGGAUCUUCAAAGCAAAUGUGUGUUGGCUGAUGAAGAUGCCUUGAUCAGACUGGUGAACUUUCAUGCCAAGAAAGUAUGUCAUGAUUCCCAAAUCAGUCAUCUCGAACACUUGCUGCAUUUGAACCUUGAACUCGUCAAUGAGCUCAACUUUACUCCCUGUCACUAACAAAUCAUCCACAUACAAGGAGACAAUCAUCAAAGUUUCCUGUUCUGACUUCUUAACAGAAAAGGUUGGUUCACUAGGACUCUCAAGCUUGGUCAGGUAACUAUCAACUCUGUCAUACCAGGCCCUUGGUGCCUGUUUUAGGCCAUAAAGGGUCUUUCUCAGCUUGUACACUUUGUCUUCAUGUCCUGUAACUUCAAAACCUUCUGGUUGAUCGAUGAAGAUCUCCUCCUUGAGAAAGCCAUUCAGGAAUGUUGAUUUUACAUCCAAUUAGUGAACCCUCCAGUGUUUUUGAGCAGCUAAAGAAAAUAGGAGCUUGAUUGUGUCCAGCCUUGCUACUGGAGCAAAUGUCUCCAAGAAGUCCACACCAUAUUGCUGACUAUAGCCCUUCACCACAAGCCUGGCCUUGUGCUUGUUCAAUAAGCCAUCAGCAUUGUAUUUGGCUCUAUACACCCACUUAACACCUAUGAUCUUCUUGUGUUCUGGUCUAUUCACCAAUUCUCAUGUCUAAUUCUUGUUAAUCAUUUCCAAUUCAGCCUCCAUAGCUUUCAUCCAAUUCCUAUCUUUGGCAGCCUCCUCAAAAUCUGAAGGUUCAAUCACAGCAACACUGCACCUUUGAUAAAUAUCAGUCAAAGUUCUGGUGCCCCUCACUGGUAUAUCAUCAACAACAUCAUCAAUUGGUCCCUCUUCUGUAUGCUCAGCUAUCAAGUCCAAAUGGUCCAUCUCAAACAUGCCUGCUUCAACACCAUUCCAGUUCCACACCUUUUCUUCAUCAAAUUUCACAUCUCUGCUGACUAAGACCUUCUUUGCUGUAGGGUCAUACACUCUAUAACCCUUUUUGUUGCUACUAUAGCCAACAAGGAUUCCUGGAAUAGCUCUACUCUCGAGCUUGGUUCUCUUUUCCACUGGAACAAGAGCAUAACACACACAGCCAAACACUUUCAGGUGUGUUACCACUAGUUUGACUCCAUACCAAGCUUCAAAAGGUGUUUUGCCCUUGACUGCUCGAGUUGGCAGCCUAUUUAGCAGGUAUACUGAGGUGUUGACUGCUUCAACCCAAAACUGACUUGAAAGUUUGCUUUGAAAUAACAGACACCUGGCCAUGUUCAACACAGUUCUGUUUUUCCUUUCACUUACUCCAUUCUGUUAAGGAGUAUAAACUGUUGUGAGCUGAUGAUGAAUCCCAGCACCGUGACAAAGCUUUUGAAAUUUGUCAUUCACAUAUUCUGAGCCAUUAUCAGUCCUUAAGGCUCUAAUUUUACAGCCUGAUUGAUUUUCAGCAUAUGCCUUGAAUCUGCAGAAGGCUUCAAAUACUUCUGACUUUUGCUUCAUAAAGUAGACCCAACACAUCCUUGUUAGAUCAUCUAUAAACAGAGCAAAAUACUUGUUUUCACUGAUUGAAGGUGUUUUCAUAGGACCACAAACAUCAGAGUGCACCAAUUCGAGCUUGUUUUAAGCUCUCCAAGCACUGUAGCAGGAAAAGGCAGUCUAGCCUGCUUGCCAAGCUGACAAACCUCACAAACAGUCUCAUUAGCUUCAAUAUUUGAAAUGUCAUCAACCAAAUUCAGCCUAUGCAACAGACCAAUGGAUCUGAAAUUGGCAUGGCCUAGUCUCCUAUGCCAUAAGUUUGUAUUAUCAACCAGACUAGUGUAUGCCUUUCUUUCCACUUGGCUAACAUCCAGCAUAAAGCACCUAUCAGCCAUAGAGACUGUGACUAGCUCCUAACCAUGCAUGUCUUGAACAAUACAGCAACCAUUUUUAAAGACCAAAGUAUAGUCUUUUUCCACUAAUUGGCCUACACUAAGCAGGUUCUGAUCUAAAUCAAGACAAAUAGCACAUCAGUGAUUAGCUUGUUACCUAAACCAGUGCUUACCAGCACAUUGCCCUUGCCCUUAACCUCAAUCAGCUUACCAUCUCUAAUUCUGAUUUUCGAGUGGAAGCUUCUGUCUAAGUCUUUAAACAGCUUCUCAUCAGCUGCCAUAUGGUGUGAGCAGCCAUUGUCUAGUAGCCAAUCAUUGCUGGCCUUUGUUGUGCCAGCAAAACAUGUUGCUGUAAACACAUGCUCCUCCUGUGCUUGCAAAUCCUCAGCUGGUCGAGCCUGUUGCUGAGUGGUCUCCUUUGGUUUGCCCUUGCACACUUUCUCCACAUGACCAAACUGCUUGCACUUUCUGUGUUGGAUAUCUGGCCUAAACCAGCAGUACUUUUCUGAGUGUGUUGUCUUCUUACAAUGAGCACAUGGUGGAAACACCAUUUUUGCUUCAUCUCUUCCUGAUUUGGUCCUCCUAUUGUGCCAAGGCUUUUUGCCUUUUGCACUCACACUCGAGCCCUCACUGGCUUUGGCCUGAAAAGCUGCCUCUGGAUUCUCCUUGUAACAGCCCGAUUCUGGGCCUAGUCGGAAUAGUAGUUUCGGGACCACAAAUCUGACGAGGGAAAAUAUGGUUAUUAUUAUAUUUUUAUGGUCUACAAUUUCACGGAAAAUUUUCGUAAAAAUUUCGUUCGAAAAUUUCGACGUUUGGGCACUCAAUUUAGUCAAAAGGACUAAAUUAUAAAAAGUGCAAAAAUUGAGUUCUACAUCUUAGAGGUGUCUAAUUGUUAUGAAAUUAUAAGUUGGGGGUCCUUAAGUGGUAAUUAGACCAUUAGUAAUUGAUGGACAAAAAUAGACAUAAGGAAUGGGUGAAAUAGAUUUUUUUUAAAUGGGGGCAUUUUAGUUAUUUGGUAAUAAAAAGAAAUAAAAUGGGAAAAAGAUGGAGAAAUUGUGUCAUCUUCUCCAUAGUUGCUGCCAAAUUUUGGAAGACACCAUAGCUAGGGUUUCUUUGCUUUCUCAAGCUCAUAGUAAGUGCAUCUUAGCCCCGUUUUUAAUGUUCUUUGCAUUUUUGGAAUCCUCGUAGCUCGGUUUAGCUUAUUCUAGCAAUAAUUCGUGUUAGGGUUCAUAUUUGGAAAAAUACCCAUAGGUGAAAAGUGUUUAUUUUGCUGUUUUAUGGCAGAAUAUGAAGCUAGAAAUUAUGUUAAACAACUUUUGCUAAGCGAUUUUAAGCGAAAACGGGUAAAUAGACAUAAUCGGUAAAAAUAAUUGAUGUUCAAAAGUAUGUGUUAGAGUGGGAAUUUGAUGUUACCAUAGAAGGGAAAAAUGUUCAGUAUGUCAUAAAAUAUAAGAAUAAGAGAUGAAGUUUAAUUUCCGAGCUUGGGGACAAAAGUGUAAUUAUGCAAAAGUUUGGGGGCAAAAUUGUAAUUUUUCAAAAAGUUGGGUGGUGGAUUAUUUUAAUAAAUGUGAACAUUAAAUGAGUUAAAUUUGCUAUUAUAGAUCAAGAAAGACGAGAAAACUACCUCAAACGGGGAAAAGAGAAAGUAGUGGAGUAAAUUGCAAAAUUACGAUAUUUUGCACCGAGGUAAGUAAACACGUGACUUAAUGUAUUAUUUUGAUAUUAUUUGAUAUGUGUUGAGAUUUAUUUGAAUAUAAAAUAAAUAUUUGGCAAGAUUCCAAAAAUUUUGUUAAAUAGAGAAAUGUGGUAAGGGGUUGCAAAACACGGUUUUUGGUUGAACACUCGGAAUAGGCCGGAGCAUAUUGCAUAAAAAGGGGUUGCUGUGUGCUGAUUCCCCGAUUCAUUGGUGGUUGCUAAGUGCUGAUUCCACCGUAUUUUUAAAUGUGAAAGAGGGUUGCUAAGUGCUAAUUCCCCCGAGGGGUUGCUAAGUGAUGAUUCCCCUACCUAUUGGUGGUUGCUAAGUGCUGAUUCCACCAUAUCUUUGAAAUGUAAAGGGGGUUGCUAAGUGCUGAUUCCCCCAAGGGGUUGCUGUGUGCUGAUUCCCCGAUUCAUUGGUGGUUGCUAAGUGCGGAAUCCACCGAAAACGGUUAACAUUUUGAGUCUUCAACGAGUAAAUUGGGAAGGUGAAUAUUCAUGUAUGUGGUGGACAAGUUUAUGGGAGGAAUAUUGGGUUUGAUACAGAAUCAACCCAUGUAUAAGAUGGGAGGAAAUAUCAAAAAUGCAAAAGAAACAAUUUAAAUACAAAACUGUGUUGAACAACAACAGUUGGGAAACUUUGAAAAAUCACCAUAAAUGGCGGGAAAUGAAUGGGAGGUUUAAUAAUAUAUGAAAUUGAAGCUGGAUGAGUCUAUUUUCAUAUGAAAGAAAUAGAGCAAGUAAAAGAGUUGUAUUUUUGGAGAUAUUUGAAUUUUACUGAGACAGGGCUGGAGUGAUUUCGAAAUCCCCUGUUCCAACUUUGGAAAAUCACUAAAAAUUAUAAAAAAAUAAUUAUGGCUUGAAAUCUAUAUUCCUGGAUUACUUUUUGAGUCUAUUUUUAAUAGAAACAAAGGAUAACAUUUUUGAAACUUGUACAGAGAGUUAUGUGAAUUUUUGUAAGGGGAGGUCAGGACUGUCGGGCAGGGAAACAGGGGAAGAUUUAAAGAAUAAACUGUACUGAUUGGCUUGACCAAAAAUUCUGAAAAUUUUAUGGUAGAAAUACUUAUGGGUCUAGUUUCAGGGAAAUUUUACAGAAUUCAAUUUGGAGCCCUGUAGCUCCGGAUAAAAAUAAAUUAGUGGUCAUGAUGCAGAAAACCAGCUUACUGGAAAUUACACAAACAAUGAAAUUUAUUUGUGAAUAAAUUUAUAUUAUGGUGUAGUCAUGUGAGAAAUUACUUAUUUGUCAUAUGCUUACUUACUAAGCUAUAUGCUUACUUGUUUUUAUUUUUCUCUUGAUUAUAGUGAUUUCCAUCAACUCAGAAUUGGAACGGAGUCAGACAAUCAUCUACACUAUCAUCCACGUUUGGGUAUUUUGUUACUAGUAUUCCGGAAAUUAUGGCAUGUAUAGACGACUUAUGUAAUGUGGAGUCACCAUGUAAAUAUAUGUUAUGGUUCGAUUUAAAAUGUAGUGUUUAUUAAUGGUUAAAUUGUGUAUGUUUAUACAACUGAACUUGGUUGGAAUAUUGAAUUGUGUUUGAAAACUUGCAGGAGGUUUAAGCAAAAAUAAGCAGAAAUGCUGUCGAAUUUUUUUUUUAAAUUUAGUAAUACCUCAUACUCUGUUCUGAUCAGGAAUGCGGGUAAGGGGUGUUACACUCCUCCUGCCUAUUUGCUCUCCUUUGAUCAAGUGCAUACAGGGAGUUUAUCAGCUUAGACAAUGAAAUGGAUGAUAAGUCCUUCGAGUCCUCAAGUGAGGAGAUUUUUGACUCGAAUUUCUCAGGGAGAGUUGUGAUGACCUUUUCAACAACUCUGCUCUCUGUGAAGGCCACUCCUAGGAGCCUUAUGUUGUUGACAAUGGCCAUUAUCCUGUUUGAGUACUGCUUGAUGGUCUUAGACUCCUUCAUCCUCAAAUUCUCAAAGUCUCUCCUGAGGUUGAUCACCUGCUGUUACUUUGUCUUGUCAGUUCCCAUGAAGUCCUCCUUCAAUUUCUCCCAUGCCUGCUUUGAUGAGUCACAGGCCAUGAUGCGAGUGAAUAUCACAUCAGACACUCCAUUUUAUAGACAGGCCAUAGCCUUGUGCUUCUUGGCUCGCUCCUCAGCAUGUUGUCUCAUCUGUGCAAUGGUGGGAUUAGCUCUCAAUGGAGGUGGCUCAGCAUCAUUUUCGAUUACACUCCAAAGAUCAUGUGCCUGGAGGUAAGUCUUCAUUUUGACUAUCCAAAUGUGAUAGUUUUCUCCAGUGAACACUGAUGGAGGUGGUAGAGUGAAACUCAUUCUGCUUAACUGAGUUCAAAGGCUUCGAUCUCUUCUAAUUCUAAGCUAUGCUUUUGCUUUUGGUUUGAAAACAACAAAAUGCAAAGGCCCCUUAAAGAUUCAGGCUCAUGAUACCAUUUUUUGGAACAUUGGCAACAUACAAUAAUUAAAUUUGCAAGCAGAGCAAAGAAAAAUCGAAGCGGAAAAGAAAACAAGCAAAACAGCAAAAUGAAAUUUGAAUGCACAGCAGAAAUUGUAACUGAACAUUGCCCAUUUUCAUUCAAAAUUUGAAAUAUAAAGGAGUUACAAUACAAUUUGACAGUUACCUAAUGUGUUUAACUGCCCCCAACUAAUAUAAACCUAAACAUUAGCUAAAAUAUAGCUGACCAAUCAGCCAUUACAUCAAAAGAUCUUAUCACUAGCUUAAUUUUAAUAACAUUGUGAGUAAACUAAAGUUGAACCAAAUCAAAUUACAACAGAACAAAAGAACAAAGUUGGUUGCUUCAUUCGGUCCAAAAUUCAAACUUGCGCACCAAGUAAAAUCGGCUGAACUCGAUAACUGCUGCUGGUCUUGACAGUAAGUGGCUGCUGGUUUUGUGUUGUAAUGCAGCCCAACUUUCAACGGUUAUCGACUCCUUCAUCCUUGAACAUGCACAUCAAGGAGGCUUUCAAGGAAUCGUCAAGAGAUUCACCUCCAUUUGCACCAAACCUUAUCAUCUGCACAAAAUCGGGGUGCAGCUCAAAGCAAUCCAGACCAAGCUCCAAAACAUUUCCAAGAAUCUUUCAGCUUAUGAGAUAUCCCGCGAUGGAGAAGGUUCUAGCUCAGUUCUCAACCUGCAAUGACAGUUAAGAAGGGAAUACUCACAUGCUGAGGAAGAGGACGUUGUUAGCUUGGAGGUUAGCACGAAGGAUGUCAUGACCAAGUUUAUAACUGAAGAAGAUAGGCCCCACGCUGUGGUUUCCAUAGUCGGUAUGGGGGGCCUCGGAAAGACAACUCUUGCCAGAAAAGUAUAUAAUCAUCAUGAUGUGAAACGCCAUUUUGAUUUCUUGGCUUGGUUUUCUAUCUCUCAACAAUGGAAGCCGAGAGAAGUUUUGCUUAGUGUCUUGAUGAAAGUUCUCCCUCCUUCUAACGAUGAAAGAGAAAAAUUGAGAAAAUGGAUGAGAUUGAUCUAAGGAAAACGUUUUUUGAUGCUUUGAAAGAAAAGCGGUAUUUGGUGGUCCUCGAUGAUAUUUGGAGAAGCGAGGACUGGGAUAUUCUUAAACCUGCUUUUCCACGAGGAAGAAAGGGAAGCAAAAUAUUGCUCACAACACGAAUAAAAAAUGUAGCUUCACGUGCCGAUCCUUGGAGCACUCCCGUGGAGCUCUAACUUCUUACAGAUGAUGAAAGUUUGAAUCUUUUAUGUAGGAAAGCAUUCCCACGGAGCAAAAUGGGUUCUCAAUGCUGCUCAGAAGAAUUUGUGAAGCUUGGAAAAGAUAUGGUAAAAAAAUGUGGAGGCUUGCCUUUAGCAAUUGUUGUGUUGGGUUGCUUGCUGGCAACAAAACAGUCAGUGGCUCAAUAGGAGAUGGUUCAUAAAAACAUCCAUGGACACUUAAAUGAGCUCCCACACCAAGAUCGUCAAUAUGGUGCGGUGAACAGAAUUUUGGUUUUAAGCUACAAUGACUUGCCUUAUCCUUUAAAACCAUGCUUUUUGUAUCUUAGUCAUUAUCCAGAAGAUUGAGAGAUACCGAAAAAAGAACUUAUUCAUUUAUGGAUCACUGAAGGUUUCAUUUUGGAAAACGAAGAAUUCUUAAUGGAGGAUUUAGGCGAAAAAUUCCUAGAAGAGCUUAUAGAUAGGAGCUUGGUUGAAGUUAGCAGGCGAGACUAUACAGGAACAAAUGUGGAGACAUGUCGAGUGCAUGAUCUCUUGAGGGACUUGUGUAUGAAGAAAGCAAGAGAGGAGAAGUUCUUGGAAAUUAUUCAACAACCACUGCAUGAACUUGAAGUGACAUUGGCAGAAUCUAUGCUACGAAGAAUUUCUAUUCAUCCUAGUAAAUCGAAAGUUUAUUUGAAGGAAGAGCAUCCAAAAUUACGCUCUUUGUUGUUUUCUCAGAAUAAGAAAUGGGUAGAAUUAAGCAUUUCAAAAUACAAAAGCUUCAAAUUUUUAAGGGUGUUGACUCUUGCAAAAAGGGGCGAUGAGUGGUGGCAUGUGUCGACUGAAAUUGGUAAUCUCCAAGAUUUGAGAUACUUGAAGUUAUACUACACUGAAAACAUGAUUUUGCCUCGAUCUAUUGGCAGGUUGAAGAAUCUGUACACUUUAUACAUCAACUGUCAUGACAUUGUAAUUCCAGAUGGUGUGUUUAAGUUAGAACGUUUAAGGCAUUUUGUAAUAAAAGUGGAUUUUAAGUUAACCGCAUAUCGUUGGCGGCAAAGGUUCACUUCAAAAAAUAUUGAAACUUUGAAGUUCAUAGUGGUGGAUGAGAAGGCGGCUGAAAAUAAUGCGGUUCUUAGGUGGACUAAUAUUCAGAGUUUAGAAAUAGCAUUUACUGGUGCAGAAUAUGUGAAGCCUACCCUAAUCUUGCUACCCAAAUUGUAACGCCUUAGGUCACUGUCCUUAUGUUUUUUUGGUGGCUCACACCUAAACUUAGAACCCCUUUCUCAAUAUUAUCACCUCUCCAAACUUAAAUUAUGGGGGCGGAUAGAAGAUGAGCCACGUCCGAACGGUCAUGUUUUGAAAUUUCAUCCAUCAAAUAUUGUCAAAUUAACUUUGGUUGGCUAUGAGCUGAGACAAGAUCCAAUGGCGGUAUUAGAAAAGCUAUGUCAUUUGAAGAUUCUCUAUUUGACGGAAGCAUAUAUUGGGAGUAAAAUGGUGUGCUCUGCAAAUGGAUUUCCUAAACUUGAUUAUCUUCAAAUGUCUUCGUUACUUGAGUUGGAGGAAUGGGAAAUAGAAGAAGGUGCAAUGACAUGCCUUCGAGAAUUGGGGUUGGUCCAAGUUUGGAGAUUAAGGAUGCUUCCAGAAGGAUUGAGGUACAUUACUACUCUCCAAGAAUUGAAUUUAAGAGGAAUAUCUUGGUCAUUGAAAGAAAGGAUUAAAGUGAUAGAUAUAUAUCUAAUGCUUCCCAAUUUGCUUUUUUUUUUAACAUUUAUCUUCUUAUUAAUUGGUCAUUUGCAUCUAUUUGAUUGAAAUUAAUCAAUUUAAACCAAAGAAAGAAAUUCUAAGUAACUCAUUAGAUGUUAAAUGGUUAAAUUCAUUAUUUAAAUAGUAAAAUAACGCCUUUAAAUUUACAACUCACUAUUUCUAUUAAAAAUUAGAUGAUUCAAUGUCAAUCAAAACAUAUAACAUAUAACGUGUAUACUUUUAUAUGACAUAACAAAAAAUAUGUACGAUUUUUUAUAACCAAAUGUAUAAAAUGACUUAUGUGGAAUGAUGAUUAAACUUUUUUAUCAAGUACCCGUUUAGCACAAGUUCAAACUAUAUGACUCCCAUCCCCACCCGAAUAUUAUAUAAAAAGAGUCAACAUUAAUCAUUUUGAAACUUUUAACCGUUUAAUCAAUGAUAUUAAUCAUUCCAUAAAGUUUUUUUAAUCAAAAUCAUCACACAGUAUUAAAUACUUUUUACUUAUUUAAUAUUUACUAAGAAUAAACCGAUAAUUAAAUUUCUUUGAGUCUAGAUUUAUUUCAACUUUUACCUUGAACCAAACACGGUACUGUAACAUAUCUCGUAAUUCGCUAAUCAUCAGGUUAAUCAAACAUUUUGUGAACUAAACUCCCUUUUAAUCUAAAUUCACAAAAGUUUGUGUGCUUAAGAAAGUUGAGUUUCACAUAAUUUAUUCUUCCUAUAAACAAUAAGAACAAAGUAGCGACUCAACUUUCUAUUGAAGACUUGUUUUAAUAAGGUUACACAAAUCAAAAUGUAGUAAAUUCAGGGAACUCUAUGUACUAAGAUAAUCGUGUUAAAUGCUUCAUUUUCAGUCAACCGAGAAACAUUUAUAUACAUGUUUCUGAAAAGUAAAAAUCUUAGCCUCACAUUUGUAAGCAGUUUUACUCUGAUAUGAGACAAGCCUACUGAUGAAACAGAAGUUACGGCAAGGUGAUCAGAAGAGGCAUUCACUAACCUCACACGAUAAUGUUGUUUAAUCAGAGAUCAAGGCAAUUGACGAAGCUGCUGAUUUUCUUUCCGGAGAGACUUCACCUCUUCCAUCAGUUCAGCUUGGUUCUGUAAUAUGGAGCUCAUCACACGAGACAUCUCCAUCUGUUCCAAUAAUUUCCGCAAAUUAGAGCUGAGAAUAUGUACAUGAAAGCCAAAGAAACAUAAAGGAAAGGACUGAUAGGAAAAUACCUCCUGCAUGUGGAAUUGUCUUAAAAUUUCAAUAAGCAAAUUCCUCAUAUCCCCAUGAAUGGAUUUCUGAAAUGAAUCGAGGGUUUCUUCUAGAGUUCGUUGAAAUAGCUGAAGAGUAAAGUUGCUUCCUUGUUGGGGAUCUUGUUGAGAUGCCUUGGGGGGUUGUAAUGUUCCUCCCUAUUAAGGUCACAAUCAAUGCAGUGUCAUGCCCGGAAAAAAAACUAUGAAAUAUAUAGAAAUUCGUAAAAAUCCUUCAUCCAGGAUGACUUCAAUACUCAAAUGCAUCAAAAGACCAAAGUGAUUAGAGAAAUUAAUGUAGUGAAUAGUUAUUUAACCAAACCAGAUAUCAUACAUUCAUUGCUGGAAGAACUCCUGAUGCUGCUACAGUCAAUGAAUCAGACCUCGAUAACAGGCUAUUAAACAGAUCUUCUCUGGUUUCAGCUCUCAUUUUCUUUAUUUUUGGAGAAGCCACCAAAUGGGAUGUUCCAUCACUAAAAGCAGAUGUAGUACUAAUUCUCUCAGCAUAUGUUGAAAACAUUCGAGGCAGUGCUAAAGAUGCUAGUUUUGGAGAGUCAAGGCUGCCAGCUCUAGUAAUGCCUUUUGAACCAAAAGAUAAAGCAGACAUGGAGCUCGAGGAGAAAUGUUCAGGAAAUUCCAAUGAAGAAGUCUCUUGAUUUGAAGAGACAUCUUUCGUGUGUACGUUUUCAUAGCUCAUGUUAGAAAUGGUCUGGCUGAGCAUUGAAGACUGAUCUUGUCCAGCAUAAAUAGAGCUCGUUGUCAGACCACCAGAAGCUGGCAUCCCAAAACGAGAUGGCAGCUGGCGAAGGUGAGCAAAUUUGUCAGAUAUCUUCUCACCACCCC
rnacentral:lncRNA from 1 species